rnacentral:lncRNA from 1 species
GCCGAUGUGGGGAUAGUUCGGAUCCCACGCGCCGUUGACGUAGGUGUCGAACUCGACGGCGAAGACCGAGGGGCUGCUGCCGGAGGAGCCGAAGAUUCCGAGGUUGGAUCCGCUAGAGGAGGAAGGGAUGGUGGACCCGACGGGGGCGAUGAAGAAGGCGAGGCCGUCGGCGGCAGAGUUGCCGGGGCCAGGUGUGAUGAUGAAGUUUACGGUGGUUUCAAAGUCGACUUGGCCGCCGGUUUGUGAGAACUGGACCGGGUUCGAGUACAAUACCCGGCCAACUUUGGCGGUCUGUGCGUCGGUGAGGCGGAGGAAGGUGGAGUCCGACGGGAAAUGGGCGUCGCCUUGGUAGGUGAGGUCGGUCGGCUGGUCGCCCCAGAAGUCGUAGGUGAAGGACGUCGAUUGGGACUGCGCCACGUUGGCGGCGGCGAGGAGUAGGGCGACGGAGGAGAGGAGAGGAAUUAGGGUUUGGAGAAGCUUGGCCAUUGCUUAAUUGAUUUGGAUGUGGUGGAUGAUGGUGAUAUGUCUUAAGCUUGCACUCCUAUAUAUACUAGUGUAGUUCAUGCAUGAUAAUGUUGUUUAAUCAUCAUAUAUUUUAUUUCAUUAAAAUGAAUCACCUCGUCCAUUCGAGGUAAAUGAACCAUGUGAUCUUAUGUACUACCAGCCACAUUUUAAUUUGCUCGUUGGAAUAUUAUCUAUAGUUGUAUCUAUUGUAUUUGUAUAAAUGAUUUUUGGAAGGGAACUUAGAAAAAGUUCUUGAUAGGGGCUGUAUUUUUUAAUUUCAAGUGCAAAAUUAAGUUUUGAUAGACAAUUUACUUAUGAUUCAAUUUAACGAUCGGGUUUUCUGAAAAAAAAAAAUUCACACAAAAAAUCGAUUAUUUAAUAAUUUUAUAAGAAAAAAGAAGAAGAAGAAAUUUUCUAUUUAGGAUAUACACGAGCAGAUGAGAUCCUCUGUCCCACUAUUUUGUGUGUACCACCAUGUACCAUUCUUAAUUUAUUUAUUUUAGUAAUUAUUUUUUAUAAAAAUAAAAAUUAUUAUUAUAUUUUUUAUUUUCAUUUAAGUGAGUUACUAGAUUUAUUUGGGGUGAGCACAGGUUAUUUUGGAAAAGGAGAAUAUCUGUAAGAUGAUGUGAAAAUUAUUCAAUAUAAGCACAUAUAGGGGUUGAGUUCUCAAAGGAACUUAAUUAAUAUCCAAUGUGAUUGAUACAUUUCGACUAAAUGGAUGGACUGUGACGCCCCGACCAAAAGUAAAGAGUGAUUGUGAUCGGUGCACAAGGCAUGGAUGAAAAGCGGUUCCUAGUAAUGCUUCGAUACGGAGGAUACAUGAAUGAAUCGAAACACACCAGAAAGAGAGGGAUUCCAUGAGUACGUACGCAGGUAUAUGACUGCAUAUUCGAGGAGCUUAAAUAAUUUUAUUGGUGUUACUCAUAUCAACAAGAUGCAUCUUCUUUUUUGGUGACCAUAUGAAAUAAACUCCAAGGUUAAGCGUGCUUGGCGUAGAGCAACUUGAUGAUUGGUGACCUCCCUAAGAAGUUUAUCAGAAAGCGUGCUAGUAAGAACAAAACAUGCUAGAAAAGACUCAUAUUAGUCUGUGGGGACAGCCGUUAAAUUUGGAUUCGGGUCUUUACAAGUGGCAUUAGAGAUUAACCUCUCACAGUAUGGUGCGGUUCGGGAACGAACCAAGCGGAAGUUGGUACUCAAUAUUCCAUCUAUUGUGAGUUUCUUUGUCUUCUUCAUCUUUCUUUUACUCUGCUGUCGAGUUUCAGAGAGUAAUCAGAUAGGUUUUCAUUCGAGUUGAGUUUCUUGAGUGAUAAACUGUUAAUUGUGAGUUUCAUUCGAUCAUUUGUUGAUUAUAAAUAUCUGCACAUGGAUAUUGGUCAAUUUAGAUACACUGAUCUUCAAAUUGAUUGACGAAUCUUUAGAAUUCAAAAUUUAAAUCAAAUACGCGUGUUCAUAGUUAAUUGGUAAGUACACUUUUUUUUNAUAUAAAUAUAAUUGACUCGAGAUCUCUGCUACUUACGCAUACUUCGCUCGAGACAAAAAUAAAUAAUUGAUCAUUGAGAACUCCGCUACCACACCAUACUCGUGUACUAUUUAUCAUUGUUUAUGAUUAUUAAUAAAGACGUGUCUUUGCCUGAUAAAUUUAAUUUUCAUACUCUUGAUUCUUUUUUGGCCAUAUCAUUUUUUAAAAAAUUGGGAGGGGAAUGGUGGAAAUUGAAUAUGAAAAAUACCAGUCAAAUGAUACAUGUGCACUUUCAAAGACAAAACAUAAAUGUAACCUUCGUUUGUAAAACAUAGAAAUUCUACCAUAUAUUUGUGAUUAUUUUACCUUUAUACGAUCUAUUUAUAUAUAUUUAUUAGAAUUAAUAAAAAUAUACUACAUUCGUCCACGAAAAAGAAUCUCAUUGUGUGCUGGAUGUGAGUCGUAUCGAGAGUGAGAGGGAACACAUUGUCUCCGGUCUCUGCCGUCUUGGCGAGAUCUUCGGCAUUGGCCUGAUCCGGCCGCUGAGGUGGCCGGUAGGUCAUCCAUGGAGUAUGGCUAUAUUCAUACUCGUAUCCCAUUUUGGUUGUAGAACAAGAAGGCGGUGUUGUUGAAAUCGUCGUCGUUGAUAUCCUUUGGAAAACCGGCUGGGAUAGUUUUCGCCAUUAGAGUGAUGUGCGUAGAAGAGAGGAUCUUCCGGCGGUCUUCGCGGAAACCGUUGUCGCGUGUCCAUAGUUCAUGGAUUGAAAAUAUGCAGGUAAAGCACCCGGCGUACUCGGCCAUACAAUUAACUCGCCAUCAUGAGCUAUAAUUCUAUUCGAGUAAGUUCAAUCUCUAAUGAAUUAAUAUAUUUUUAUAAAUAUAUAAUUUGCAAAAUAACCUUAAAAUAAAAUAUGUAAUAAGGGUAAAAUAGGCAAUCCACAUGUUGUGCUCAAUGCUCUUUUUAUAUUACUAGGAGAAAGAUAAUUAAUGUUAUUUUAUCUAAUAAAAUAAAAAAUAUAAAUAUAAUAUUUAUUAUAUUUAAAUUUUUAAUUAACAAUUUUGUUUAUUUAAUUCUCUUAUCUCUUACAAUAUUUUUUUUUAGAAAAUCUAUUAGUUCAUUACUUCGACUAAAUAUAAUUUAUUGGAUAGAUAUAUUUAUUUAUAAGCCUUAUCAAUAGCUAUAGAUAUAUAUUACAUAGAUUUAAUGUAAUAUUUAAUGAAUCAAUAGCUCUUUUCUUUUAUAUUAGUAUAGAUUAUAUAGAUAGAUAUAUAUAGUGCAUGCAUGAUAAUGUUGAUUGAUCAUCGUAACUAUAUAAUUUAUUGCACUAAUAAUGAAUCACGUUCCCACUCGAGGUAUAUAAAAUGAAUCAUGUGACCUUUUCUACUACCCGACACAUUUUGCUCCUUGGAAUAUUAUUUAUAAUUGUGUCUAUUGUAUAGUGCAUGCAUGAUAAUGUUGUUUAAUCAUCAUAAAUCUUCAUGGCUCAUCCACCUCAUCCAAUCGAAGCAUAUAAUGAACCAUGUGAUCAUAUCUACUACCUGACACAUUUUGCUUCUUGGAAUGCUAGCUAUAAUUGUAUCUAUUGUGUGAAUGUAAGCAAAAGGGCGCGCACAAUUUUUUAUUUUUUUUUGGAUAGGUGACUCGCUCAAAAUACCUAUUGAAUUGACUCGUAAUCGCACGAGGUCAUUCUAGCGUAGUAAGCUAACCCAUGUCGUAUCUCACAAGGAAGAUUAAGCAGGACGACUAAUUUUGGAUUAUUUUUAAUCAAAUGUUGGAUAUUUUUUAAUUAGAGUAAAAUUAAAAUAAGUAAAUUAUUGUAUAUUUUCAGAUUCGGAAACUAAUGGCUUUAUUUUAAUUUAAUCAUUUUCAUAUGUCAGUUAUAUUAUGUAAAUGACGUUUUUAGUAACAAACAAAUGACAUUUUAAUCAAUAAAUGAUACUUUUAUCAAUAAUAAAUGAAACCAUAUUAAGGUAAAUAGGGUAAAGGUUAGACUUAACUGUGAAAGCAUCAUGAGUUUUAUGUGUAACAUUUUCGGUGUGAAAAUUGAUGAGUUAAAAAAAAUGCUCCAUAUUGAAUUCGACAUUAGAUGAAUCUACAGUAGAUUUUCAUGCAUGAUCUAAGAGCUGAAAAUGAUUCACGGUCUAUAUUUAUUCUAUCAAAUUCCAUAUCACUUUAAAUCUCAAAUUACAUUUGCACUAUAUAUGAUUAUAUCCUAAAUUAUCAUAAAUAUGAACCGCUUAAAUCUGGCGUCGUUGCACCGCGGACAUCUUGCCGCUGCUUUCUCCCACCAUUGCCCUUGCUGCCCUCAUCUUAGGUGCCAAUUUUUUGCUCGUCGUGCAGAAUUUGAAAGGGGUAAAUUAUUUUUUCAAUUUUUUAUUGCAUUUUGCUGUCUAAGUUGAUUUCUCAAGUAAAGUGGACUUGGGUUUUGUUUCGAUUAUAGCUGAAUUCGAUGGCGCUGUGUGGUUAGAUCUGUAAUUUUGACGUGUUGUUGAAGUGUGCGGGAUUGAAUGUGAUCUGGGAGAAUUUAAGGGUUUUGGGACGUUAGUAUGAUGAUGGUGGGAUUUGAAUGAAUUUGAAUACCAGAUUAUGGUUGAUGUUUAAUUAUGUGAAUCUUGCGAUCUGUGUUGAAAUUAAUGUACAGUAUCUUCGCCUAGCCGGGGGUUCACCAUUUGGUUCCCGACCGUCCUGCUGCCUUCACUCCACACUCAAGUGCCAAUAUCUUCUUCUCGUUUCUCUUCCUUCUUCUUCUCCUCUUAGUACCUGCAAGACAGAAGGAAAAACCAGCAAGUAUAAAGAAAAAUCAGAAAACUUAAAGAAGUAAAGAAAGAAAGAAAACAAAGGAAACUCGAGGUGGGAAAAAGGUGUCCUCGGGACACAGGUGGCUCAGAUUUUUCCCACAGUGGCAACACACUCCGGCAGCUCAAAGACCACGGCACAAAGGGGAAGGGAAGUCAGAUCGGAGCUCAAAUCUGACGAGCACAGCCACCAAUAAUCAGGAAUCCGGUGGACAGGAUUCCGGCGGCUCAGAAAUCCUUCGCUUUAUCACCAAACAGGAAAUCUAAGGUCAGCAAUCCGACAAUAAUGCUAUCAACAGGAGGAAGCUCUCACUUUACGGCCACAACACCGGAAACCAGAACGGAAACCAGAGAACAGAAGGAAUAGCAGAGCCUUCAAGGUUGUGAACAUACUACAGAACUUCCCCCAAUCGAUUGCUUUAUAACCGAGACAGAGAAGGGUCGGGAAGAUGUAGUGGGCUUUGGGAAGGAGGAGGAAGCCAUUAAUGGUGGUGGAGCUCGAGGGAAAGCGAGAUCAGCAGUCGUGAAGACUUAGGGUUUGGGAGGGGAUUUGAGGUGGAGCGGCGGAGGUUGAAAUGAGGGAAAGGCCGAGUGAGAGAGGGAGUAUUUCAGUGGAUAAUGGGCUAGGGUAUUUUUGAGUUAACGGGCUAUAGGUGUCUGGGCCCAAAAGUUGGGCCAGAGAAGGGAUAAAGAGCAUUGGGCCAACAUUCCACAAUUAAGACAAUUAAGAGUAGAAAUUCUUCUUGAUUUGCUAAUUUAUUUAGGAUUAGCGAUAUUAGUUUGGAGUUUUAGAUGUCGAUUGAUUUCGUGAUCUUGAUUUAUGUGAUAAAUGCCUCUCAUCACUAAGAUUUGGAAUAUAUUGGAUAUCUAGGAUAGUGAUAUUAGUUUGGAGUUUUAGAUGUUGAUGUGUCUUUUUAGGCUGCGUUUACUUUGAUGGAUAAAUUUAUAUAUGGAAAAGGAUGGAUAACACAAAUUUAUGCUUUUAAAUGUCUCCUUCCUCUUCCAACAUUUGACACAAAAAGAGAUGCUCGCUAUUUUUUCUUCCUUAUCUUCACUUCAAGGAUGGAUAAUAUUAUCCCUCCAUUUUGGUGUGAUAAUAUUAUCCAUCAUUGAAGUGAAGAUAAGGAAGGAAAAAUAGUAGAGCAUCUCUUUUUGUGUCAAAUGUUGGAAAAGGAAAGAGACAUUUAAAGGCAUGAAUUUGUGUUAUUCAUCAUUUUCCAUAGAUAAAUUUAUCCAUCAAAGUAUACGAAGCCUUAUGUGAUAAAUGCUUUUUUAGGGGGGCCCACGGGCAUGCUGCCCCAUAUGCUAUGGAGUAUGGACCAUGGUGGCUCGGUCACUGCGCUCUCGAUUGCGAAUUAUUUUGCAUUAUCUUUGUUUGUUUUUCUUAUAUUGGGAAAGAAAACAUAGAGUAAUAUAUAUUUUAGAAGUCCAGUUACCAAUGUCGUCAAUCUCGAGUGAAAAUAAAUAUUACCAUAACACAAAAAUGACAAAGCUAUUGAUUAGUGACGAUAUGUUAGAAGUUCAGAUAAACAACACAUUUAUUCUUGUGUAUAUUAUAUUAACGUUUAUUAUAUAUUAUAAAAAGAACAUAUUCUUUCAAAAUUAUCUUGUCUAUUUUUAGAAGUUCAGAUAAACAACACAUUUUCAGAAGAAAUUUAAUAAUCUCUUACGAUUUACAUAUAAUUUUUAAAUAAUUAAUUAUCUCAGUGGUGAUAAAAUAAAAAAACGAAGUAAUUUAUUAUAUACAAAAUAUUAUGAUUUAUGUUUGUAUAUUAUUUGUUUCCAUUAGUGCAUUAUCAUUUCUAAGUAUCUUCUCACUUGUUCACUGAUUCACUAUUGGAUUAACAUGAAUAUACGAAUUUCAUAGUAUACCAACCGUUCGAUAAAAGUCCUCAAAGAAAUCUUCCAUAGAUAACCUUGCAAAAGUACGUGUAUCUAUAUUAAUAGAAUAAGAGCCUAAGGAAUCUUAAAACACAAUUUUUGGAUUGCCUAUUUUACCACUAUUAUAUAUUAUUUUAAAAUUAUUUUACAUAUUAUAUAUUAAUAGGAAUAUAUUAAUUCAUUAGAUAUUACACUAAAUCUAUGUGAUAUAUUUCUAUAGCUAUUGAUAAGGCUUAUAAAUAAAUAUAUAUCCAUCUAAUAAAUUAUCUAAUAAAAGUAAUGAAUUAAUAGAUUUUUUAAAAUAAUAAAUUAUCAAAUAAAAUAACAUUAAUUACACACGUACGUUCUUUCUGCUAGCUAGUUAAAUAAAAAGAAGAAGAAACUGAGACUGAAAAAGGGAGAAUUAAGAUAGUCCAUUAUUAUCGUCUUAUUUUUAGAACUUAAACGAGAGAAAAGUCCAUCGCUAGUCCUAAUUUACAACACAACACAACACAUGAUAAUAAAUUUAAAUCACACAUAUUGCCGGAUGUACCCUUCCUCCUCUUUGCCGGCGGCGGCAUGCACGAGGGUGGACGUGAAAUACCACGAGACGAUGUCGUGCACGGCGUCUUGGCCUCCGGUGGCCGCGGAGAUCCCGACCUGAACCUGCUGAGGAAGAAUGGCGCUCAGGUCGUACACAUAGCUCACCUCGUAUGUUUGCGAGCCGGCGGCGAGGCUCACGCUGAUCAGCUUAGUGGCUUCCAGGUAGUUGAUGCGCGCAGUCACCUGCUGCCCGAGCAACGCGUUGCCGACGUUGGUCACGUUUUUGGAAACAUUAGAUUCGAUGUCGAUCCCGAUAUGGCGAUAGCUAGGAUCCACUCCGGGGUUGGAGAAGACGUCGAAUUCCACGGCGAAGACGGCGGGGCCGACGCCGGAGGAGUUGAAGAUUCCGAAGCAGCCGCCGGUGAAGCCGAGGGGUAAGCCGACGGGGGCGAUGAAGAAGGUCACGCCGUCGGCGGGGUUCGUGUCGCCUGCGUUGGGGGUUACGGCGAACGUCAGGGUGGUCUCGAAGUCGACCUGCGCGCCGGCCUCCCAGAACGUGAUCGGGGCUGAGUACACGGCCCGGCCGACGCUGUACUGGACCGCGCUGCCGGAGCUGGUGGUGUUGGUCAUGCGGAGGAAGGUGGAGUCCGACGGGAAGUGGGCGUCGCCUUGGUAGAGGAGAUCGGUCGGCUGGUCGCCCCAGAAGUCGUACGUGAAGGCUGUCGAUUGGGACUGCAUGCGCCGUGUUGGCGGCGGUGGCGAGGAGGAGGGCGAUGGAGAUUAGGGUUUGGAGAAGCUUGGCCAUGGCUUAAUUGAGUUAGUAGUAUUUGCUUUGGAUGUGGUGUGAUGAUGGUGUAUUGGUGUUAACUCUUGCUCCUAUUUAUGCUAGUAUAGUGCUUGAAUGAAAAUGUUAUUUAAAUUAACAUCAUAUUUUUUAUUACACAAAAAUGACUCACCCCAUCUUCUCGAGAUUAACUGAACUUGUGAUCUCUAAUAAUUUAUAACCUACCACAUUGUAGUUGUUGGAGUAUACUCCCUCUGUCCCGGUUUUAGCACGAGUUUUAAUAAAUUGGUUGAUUGUAUUAUGAGUAGAAUAAGGAUAAUAUUUUUUAUGGAAGUGUUAAAAUAAUUAAAAUUGAGAAAAUGUUUCACCUAUUUUUAUUAAAAAUAGAAAUGAAUUUUAAAAUAUGGGACGACGGCCAGAAAAAGAAAAUAUAUAUGGAUACUAAAAGUUGGGACGGAGUGAGUAUUAUCUAUAGUGGUAUCUAUUGUAUGAGUACAAGAGAUUUACUUGACUUGUUGAGGUAUGGAGAGAUUAUUACAAACCACGUGAAAUUGAGUUCUUGCUCCCACUGUAAAAGCAAUAAAUAUAGGGAAAAGAAAAUUAAUACUUCCUUCGUCCAAGAAAUGAGUACACAUAUUUCUUUUUUAGUCCGUUCAUGAAAUGAGUACUCAUUAAUUUUUCUUUUUAUCAAGUGUACCUCACACAACCCUUUAAUUAAUUAAUACCUUUAAAAAGUGGGUCCCUUAUUCCACUAACACCACACUCAAUCAUUUCUUAAAACCUGUAACGUCCCCAAAUGAGAUUCAUUUCGUGGAUUGAGUAAAUUCUAUACUACAAAUUAAUGGUUCGAAUUCACUUUAAAAAAUAAACUACAAUUAAGAGUCCCUCUCUUAAUUGGAAUUCAUAGACCAUCUGCUUCAGUCGUGCCCGAAGACAGAAAAGGUUUGGAUUGGAAUUCAUAGGUGGCUAGGGAAUAAAAGCAGUGUGGCCUCAAUCAUUGAAGCACACUUCGAUUUGUUCACAAAUCUUGACAAAGGAAAGGAAGGUCGAUUUUUCUAGCGACAGUAUGGGUCUAUACCAUUUGGUUGCUGUGGAAAUGACGUAACGAGAGCAGAUUUGAGGGCAAGACUUGGGAGAUCAAUGACGUGAUCGAAGAAGUGAAAGUGAGGAUGUGGAGUUGGAACAAGAUUUUUGGACUACAUGUUAAAGAGAUUAGCUCUCAAUCUUGGUUUUCUUGUGAAACUCCUCUUGUUUUGUGUAAUUUGGUCGUAUCUCUGGUACCAAACUCUCUCCUAAUAAAAUUUCUUUUCUGAUUAAAAAAAAAAAAAAGAGUCCCUCUCUUAAUCAAGUAGACUGGAUGCGGUAAGAGAGAAAUCACUUCCAACUUAUCGAUUUUACUAGCAACAACUAGAUUUAUACUGAAGCUAAAUUGGAUCAGACUCUAGGAUUCACUAGUCUUUUACUCAAGGUGAGUCGGUUUACGAGUCUCAAACUCAAGGUGAACUAGAAUGUCUGUCAAUACGAACGUUGGGAGUUCGAGGGUUUUUUAGGACAGUAACUUAGAUUGAUUUGGAAAUUAGGACAAUAACUUUCGGACUUGUAAAAAUAGGACUCUAAUUCUUUUUAAGAGUAAAAUAGGACACUAAUUAAUAAGUGUUACAUCCGCAGGACAUUUUUCGGCCAAUUAUCGGCCGAGAAAUGUCCUACUUUUACGACGCUUAUUAAUUAGUGUCCUAUUUUUACAAAUUCGAAAGUUUUGUCUUAAUUUUCAAAUCAACAUAAGUUAUUGUCCUAAAAAAUCCCCUGACUCCGAACGUUGGAACAAGCUCGGCAAUAUACUGCUAUUCAACAUUAAUGGCACUUUGCACUAAAUGAAUUGGUGUCGAAUUAAUACAUCGUCUUGCUGCUCAUAUCUAUAUAAUAAAUGCAUACCUGCACCUCGAUAUUAAUCAAUUUAGAUACACUAAAUCUCGGAUAUACUUAACAAAUGGAUUAAUAAAUGUAUAAAUUUUAGAUUUCAGAAAAUCAAAUACAGGUGUUCAUAAGGAAAUGAUUAAAAACCCGUGUGUCAUUUAGAUAAGAUUAUUAUAGUACAGUUAACGAUGGUGAAAUAUUCUUUUACAUUAGAUAUAAUAGCAUUCCAGAUCUCAAUGGCAUUUUUUGUUAUAACAAAAAAAAAUUGUAUAUGUUCCAUACUAUCCUCAAACUUCAAAUUAUUAUUUUUCUUUAUUUUAAAAUUUGUAUUGGCACAUAUCUGUCAAUUAAUCAAAUUCAUAUCAAAACAAUAAUUCGAAUGAUAUAUUAGUUGGCUAGCUAUAAAUUACAAAUUAUUAGUGAUUAGGCAUGUUUUACACAAAUUAUUAGCCCAAACAACAUUUGAUUGUGUGCAAUGCACACACUUACUAAAAGCAGAUGUGAUCAUCUGUCCCACAAUUUAGUGUGUAUCACCGUGUACCAUUCUUAAUUUGUCUAUUUUAUAAUUAUUUGUUGUAAAAAUAAAAAAAAUAUUGUUAUAUUAUGAACUCUAAUUAAAAUUUAUAACUAAAAAUAAAAAUUAAAAAAAAUUAUAUACCCUAACUUUGAAUUAAUUAACCCAAAUAAUCAAUUAUUAAUUCAAAUAAAUAUAAAAAAUAAUUAUAAACUCUAAUUGAAUGAGUGAACCCUUAUUAAUUAGUUUCUUAUUAUAUUAUAAUAAAUUAAAAUUGAAGAAAAUAUAAUUAUAUAUUAUAAUAAAUUAAGAGUGGUACACGGUGGUACACACUAAAUUGUGGGACAGAUCCAUGUGCACUAAAUUAUAGGUACGGAGGUGCGGAUGCGGGGGCGAUACGAUACGAGUACGGGGAUACGGGUUCUAAAAAAUUAUAGGGUGCGAUUCGGCAAGGAUACAUCUAAUUAUUAAAAUUUUAUGAUAUACUAAUUGUUAGAAAUGGAUAUUGGGCCAAUUCCUCCCUUAAAAGGCCUUAUAAGGGAGAGGGUUACCUCACCAUAUAAAGUGGCUCAUGCCACUAUCUCCAAUCCAAUGUGGGACACUUCAAUACUAAUGCUUAUAAAAUAUAUACAAUUUAAAUUUUCUUAAAUUAAUUAUAUGUAAUUUACAUUUUAUUUUACCCAAAAGUUAAGCAUUUUCAAUUAUAUAAGUUAAUUGAGCAACAAUAUAACGAUUCAAAUAUUAUUAGUCCAAUAUAUAAGUCAUAACUGAAAAUAAAAUUAUCAAAAUAACCUUGUGUAGGCCUUUCGUGCACGAGAUACGUGAAUUUCGCCUAUGGAAUUUGCAAAUCCGGUUUAUUUUUAUAAAUUGUUUUAAAAGAUACGCACUGGUGAAUCGGUGCGAAUCCGACAAGAAUUCGAGAAAUCACACCCUAAAAGAAUCCGAUUCGCCGUACAUCUAAUUUUUGAAGAAUCCGUGCAUCAUAGGUGAGAAGAAACACAAGAGAGUAAAAUGGUACAUAAUGUAGAAAGACUUUUCUCCAAAAUAAAUGUUACAGUCUUCUAAUAGUCGAAAGGCGCAUGAAAAUGCGCAGUUAUUCGAAAGAAAGGAAAGGCUUAUUCAGCCACACAAUGACAUGGAAUUCGAAUUGAAAUUGAAAUUCAGACAAAUCCCAAACACGGUGAUGCAGAGAUCAAGCGGUAACACGAGGAAUGAUCUUAAUACCACCGAUGGUAACUUCGUCGCCGUUAAUGUGGGGAACGAUGGUGACGACAAUGAAAUCAUCAUCAGCAAUAUUGAUGUUCUCAUAGAGCUCCCUCAAGUUCAAGCGAAGGUCGUUGGCGCUUUCCGCAGCCCUAACCCUAUGCGGAAUCUGCGUGAAACUGCCGGCGAACUCGGCCCUGGCGAGGUCCUCUGGCUUGUCGUCUUCGUCAUUCACGAACACAUCGAACCUCACGAGCUUCGAACUAUCGGUGAUUAUGUUCUCCAGCACGAGCACUUCGUCGGCUUUGCCUUUGGUUGGUUUGGGCACCAAAACCCUGUGAGUCUUGUUGAGAGUGAGAGGGAACAGAUUGUCUCCACUCUCUGCCCUCUUGGAGAGAUCUUCGAUAUUCACCGGCACCUCCCUCCGCGGUGGCCGGUAGGCUGUCCACGGAGUUUCGCUGUGUUCAUACACGUAUCCCAUUUUGGUGUGGUCCAAGCAGUCGGCCACCUUGACGCGCACGAGGUUCUUCUUCUCGUCGUAGAACAUGAACGCCGCGUUGUUGAAAUCGUCGGGGUUGGGGACGACGAGGUCGUUGAUAUCCUUGGGGAAAACGGAUGGGAUAGUUUUCCAUAUGGUCCACAUUCUGUCGACGUUAGCGUGAUGUGCGUAGAAGAGAGGGUCUCUUCCGGCGGAGUAGAAGUUCCCCAUGUCUUCGCGGAAAUCGUUGGCGGGGUUUCCGGUCCAGACGUGGACGCCGCCGUGUGAGCCGCCCUCCGACAAUCCUCCCUUGGCGCGUGGCGGGGGCAAGUCCCCGGAAACGUAAGGAUCGCCCAUGAAGUCGAUGGCGGAUUCGACAUCACCAAUCAUUUCCUUGUACAUCUGAGUGAGAUUGUUUUCGAUGAUCGUUACAGGAUCGGUGAUCGGGGGGGUGGUUAUGGCAAGAGCAACGAGGGCCGGGGGGCGAUGCGUUGGGUCGCGGUUGACGUCGUAGAGCGGGGAUUCUUCCCUGUCGAACGGCCUGGGCAUCUGCAUACCCCUAGGGUUGUCCCAGUUCCAGUAGGGCAGGGCGAAAUCGGGAUCUCCGAUGAGUUCGCCCAUGAUCCUCUCGAAGAAAUAGAGGUACCACCUGUGGAAGGGGUGGAUCCAGAAUUUGUCAUUAGGAGGGACUAAAUUUGUUGAAGCAUGACGUCUCAAAUUAUUAGCCAAUUUUUUUUAGCAUUCCAUACAGUUCAUUUUUUUGUCGAACUACAUUCGAUUAAUUCAACAACAAGAACAUUGAAAGCAUAUAAAUACUUACCUCUCAAAAAUUGUUUCAUCUUCUAAGAAGAUAAGCUAAUUUUCAUCAUGGCAGUUCAUAAUUUUAAUUUAACUUGAGGAUUGACUCAAAUUCAACACUGAGAAUCAACUAAGAAAGGAAAGUAGACAAAAAUAACAUAAAUUUAACAAACUAACAUAUCAAAUUUAAAUCACUAUAAAAUAUUAAACAGUUAAAACGUGGAUACUAUAAUUAAUAAAACAAUGUAUUUUAUUAUCUCUUGUAUUUCUUAUCUAUACUAAUAGAAAAAGAGUCUAAGACAGUCUAAGGCACAACUUGUGGAUUGCCUAUUUUACCCUUAUUAUAUAUUUAUUAUUAUAUUUACAAAAUAUAAAUCUAUUUUGAUAAAUAUUUAUUUGUCACUCAAAUCUAUAAAGAAUACUUUAUAUCUAUAGCUAUUGAUAAGGCUUAUAAAUAAAUAUAUUCAUCCACAACGUACGUUCUUUCUGCUAGUAUAUAAUAAAAACAAAAACAAAAAACUCAAAAUUUGGGAGGCGGUCGAUCCGCUGCUAACCUGUGGAAAGGGAAGAAGAUCCAUGAGUUGUGAACCUGGAUAUCGAUGCCGGGGUGGUCCACCUGGUCGUAGGGGCCGUUGCAGUAAGCGCAGUGGAUGUUGGCCUGCUGAGUGAAGCCACGGGGAUCGUCGGGGUCCGUCACGUCCAGUUCCUUCAUCUUCUGGAUGGCCAACUCAUACUUGCGUACGUAUUCCGGUGUCAGCCUGUGCGCCGCCGGCCUAACGCGAGGUUUAGUGAACCUCGGAAGCUUGUAGUCGCUCUGAACGUCGGUGUAGGGCGGGCAGCAGUUGACGUCUAGAGAUAUUACCUCUUGGUUUCGAGUGGUGUAGGCACCUUCGGGGUCGCAGGUGCUCAGGUCAGGAGGCAAAAUCGGAAGCGCCUCAGCUUUGCGGAUGGCGCUGCCUGCGCCGUAUAGACCGCCCAGCCCAAGCAGCAUGUUUCUGCGGUCUAUACGGCCGCUGCCACCGCCACCGCUGCUGCAUGACACCUGAAAGCGGCCGUGGCUCCGCCGGCUGCUGAGCUGGGAGGGCUUGCGAAAUGGGGAGUUGGUGGCGGCGGCGAUCGCCGUGAAUGAAGAUUGAAGGGAAGCCAUGUUUGAGUGAUUGAUUGAUGGUCGUUGUGAUUACCUGGGGAGGCAUGUCUUUAUAUAGCAGAUGUGACACGAGUUUUAAGAAAAAUAAAUUAUCCGUUGAAUAAUUAAAUCGCCAUGUUUCUAUAAUUUAUUCCUAAUGGAUCUAGUCAAACUAAUCGUGCAAUAUUUAAUAAACCACGCAGCAUCAUUUCCGAGACUAAUAAAUGACAUUUUGAACCAGCUAAUCAAUUCCAUAUAAUUAACCAUUUGCGAGGCUGGCUGCCCUUCACUAAAUGGUUGUAUGCACUUGUCUUUGGAAAAGCUGUUUGGCCAUAUUAUGGCCAGUCAUAAUAUGGGAAAAUAUUAUAAAAGUCAUGUAUUUAAUUUUUUAUAUUUAAAAUAAAAAUAGGAUUUUAUUAGUUUUAUUUUUUAUUACAUAUUUUAGCUAUUUUUUUUUAUAAUUUUUCUGAAUUUUUUAGAAAAAUAAAAAAUAAAAUUACAAUGUGAACAAAAUUAUAAAACUAAUAAUGGUAGAGCAGCGGAGGGCACAGGUGAAGGGCAUGGCGGCGGUGUACUUAUUUUAGUCAAGUAAUUAUUAUUGCACGAAAAAAUAAUUAUUAAUAUAAAGAAAGAUAAUGUUUCAAAGACAUUAUCUUUCUUCAUGUCUAUUAAUUUUUCAUCACAAUAAUAAUUACUUCGAAUUAUCCGUGUUUUCAAUCGUGCGACCUGCACCCAGCCCGACCCGACCCGUUUCACCCAUAUAGUCAGUCUCACCCAAGUUUUUGCCUAAAGAUAAGUAUUAAUUAGUUGUGUAUGGUGAUAUGAGUCUUGUUUGUAUAAAUUAGUAGGCCUUUAAUAAUGAAUUGGCCCAUCUCAGGUGGUUUAUAUAAUUUACUCGUAUGGAUCUAAAUACAACUAAUCAUGAAAUAUUUAAUAUACCACGGAGCAUCUUUCUGAUAUACUAUUUAUAUAGUAAUUUAUUCCUAAUGGAUCUAAUCUCUGACUAUUUAAUAAUUAACUCGCCAUCGUUUAAAUAAUUUACUCCUUAUGGAUACACUCAAAGUAAUCGUGCAAUAUUUAAUAUACCACGCAGCAUCAUUUCUCAUACAAUAUUUUGGACCAUCUAACCAAUUACAUAUAAUUAAACCUUUUGCCAGGGUGGCUGUCCCUUCCACUAUAUGGUUGCAUGUAUUGAAUUGAAAUUUUAUUGAGGAAAAAAUGAAAAGAAAAACUAGGAAUUCAUUGAUAGCACGAAGACGCUAAUUAAGGGCUGAGCCUCAUCAAAACCUUUCCGAUAAAAAUCCAGUGAAAAAAACCACCAGCAAAGGAAAAAGAGUACCAGUCUAUUACAAUAAAAAAAUGAAGAACAAACUCAAGACAGGAACAACGAGAAGCACGAGAGGAUGAUAAAACAUCUAACCCGAAAAAAAAGACCCAAACCAAAGGAGCCUGACAAAUCCGGAGCCAGUACCAGCGCACCAGGAAACUGAAAAAGUUCUGGAGAAGCCACUUCGACCCAAGCACGCCAACCAUCCAAAAGAAACGACUACCACACCCACACCUAGGCCAAGAAAUAUAUAAUAUUGUGAAUAGUUCCCAUGGGAUCGAAACAGACCACCAAAACAAGAAAAAACCUCUAAGAGCAGACUACUCAUUGCCUGCCUGCCUAGUAUUCGAUGAAAUACCCAAACCAGAAAUCAUAGCAUAAAGCAAAAACCGCCACAGCUGGGGAGCGAAGAGCAGAAGGCCACCAAUAAGAUACAUUAGGAUUGCGCAAAGUCUGACAAAGAAAUCAGAAAACUUACCAGACCACUCUAGUUAAUGUAAUCUAUACAUGUCCGCACAUGAAAUUUGGUCAAGUUAGAUACACUAAUCUCAAAUCUAUUUAAUUAACAAAUUGAUUGAUUGAUAUUUUUUUCUGAGAGAAAUUGAUUGAAUAAUUUUUAGACUUCAAAAACUAAUAGUUAAUUGAUUGUUUAGAUAAGAUUAUUAUUACACUUUUAUAUAGAGAUAAUUAGUACUUGAGAUAUGUGCAAUUUACGCAUUCUUCUCUCGAGACAAAAUAAAUAUUAUUGACCAUUGAGAACUCUGCUACCACUACUCCAGUUCUAUUUAUUAUCAGUGUGCCCUCUCGCGCGCUGCACGGGUCACAACAUAUUUGAUUAUUUAAUUUUAGCUGUUUACGCAUACUUCGCUCGAGACAAAAAUAAAAUAAGAUUUAUUGAUCAUUGAGAACUCAGUACCACACCAUACUCGUGUAUACUAUAAUAUUUAUCAUUGUUUAUGAUUAUUACGUGUCUUCGCCGAUAAAUUUAAUAUUCAUUCCUUUAAUUUUUUUCUAUUGACAUUGGAAACUGUCUUGAUUCUUUUUUGGCCAUAUCAUAUAUUUAAAAAAUUGGGAGGGGAACGUGGAAGUUGAAUCUGAAAUAAGAAUCAAAUGAUACAUGUGUACUUUCAAAGAUAAAACGCAAAAUAUAUCAUUUUUUUGUAAAACAUAUAAAUUCUACUAUUUAUGAUUAUUUUAAAUUUAUAUAAUCUAUAUUUGUAUGUAUAUAUAUUCUCCAUUUGUUCAUGAAAAAGAGUCUCAUUGUAUGCUGAAUACGAGUUUUAAUAAAAUGGUUGUAAGUGUGAAAUAAAUGUAUAAUUUGUAAGAGUCUUUACAUUAGAUUAUAUUUUACUCUCUUCGUCCUAUUGAUAAUGACUCACUUUUCUUUUUCGUCUGUCUCAUUGAUAAUUGCAUGUUCCAAAAAAACUGAAACCAUUUGACCUCACAAAAUGUUGUGGGCUCCACUACUUUUUAUCACUUUUAUCCUUUAAUUACUAUUCUUAUUAAUAACCGUGUCGAACAGUAAUGAACUAUUAUCAAUGGGAGGGAGGGAGUAAUAUUUUAAUUUUGUUUGCUGCCACCACCACCACCACCACCACAAUUUAAAAAAAAAAAUCUACGUGAAUAUAGUAAUUAUUAGAACAAAAAAAUAACUAUAAUAAUAAUAUAUUAAUCCGUUAAUUAUCUAUACUAAUAUAAAAAGUGCAUUUGGCACAAAAUAUAUAUUGCCUGUUAUAUCCCUAUUAUAGUAUUUUAUUUGAAGGACAACUUUGUAAAUUAUAUAUUAUAUAUUUAUAAGAAUAUAUUAUUUCAUUAGAUAUUACACUAAAUAUAUUUGAUAUAUAUCUAGAUCUUAUGCUAUAAUUUUUUUUAUAUUAAUUAAUUAUUAUAUAUUGUGAUUUAAUAGAAUUAUACAACUCUAAUAAUUUAUAAAUGUAAAGUUCAGGGAUUGCAUGCAAUGCACACAUUCUAUGCUAGAAAAAAAAUAGAAUUCACUAAGCCGAUGAUAAAUAACACAUACAACGUACUAUUUCUGCUAGUAAAUUAAAAAUCUAUAUGAUUUUAUCUUCUAUCACUACAUUAAUUAAAAUCUAUCUUCCGUUUCAUAUUAACGGUGGUUUUUCAAUAUUUUUUAUAUUAAUUACUACAUAUUGUGAAUUUAUUACAAUUGUUAACCUCUAACAAUUCAUUAAUAUAAAGUUGAUGGAUUGUGUGUCAUGCACAAACUCUCCUGUACUCAUCUAAAAGACUCUAUAUGUGAGAAGAAACCGCAGGAGAGUAAAAUGGUACAUAACAUAGAAUAGAAAGACUUUCACAAAAUAAAUGUUACAUUCUUCCCGUAGUCGGAAGGAGCAUGAAAAUGCGCGGUUAUUCGCAAGAAAGAAAGGCUCACUCAGCCACACAAAACAUGGAAAUCCUAAACACGGUGAUGCAGAGAUCAAGCGGUAACACGCGGGAUGAUCUUAAUACCACCGAUGGUAACAUCGUCGCCAUUAAUGUGGGGAACGAUAGUGACGACAAUGAAAUCAUCAUCAGCAAUAUUAAUGUUCUCAUAGAGUUCCUUCAGGUUCAAGUGAAGGUCGUUGGAGCUUUCCGUGGCCCUAACCCUGUGCGGAAUCUGCGUGAAGCACCCGGCGUACUCGGCCCUAUCGAGCUUCUGUGGCGUGUCGUCUGCAUCAUUCACGAACACAUCGAACCUCACGAGCUUCAAGCUAUCGCAGAUUAUGUCCUCCAGCACCAGCACUUCGUCGGCUUUGCCUUUGGUUGGUUUGGGCACCACAACCCUAUGAGGCUUAUUGAGAGUGAGAGGGAACACAUUGUCUCCGGUCUCCGCCGUCUUGGCGAGAUCUUCGGUAUUGACCGGUUCCGGCCGCUGAGGUGGCCGGCAGGUCAUCCAUGGUGUAUGGCUAUAUUCAUACUCGUAUCCCAUUUUUGUGUGGUCCAAGCAGUCGGCGACCUUAACGCGCACCAGCUUCCUCUUCUCGUUGUAGAACAUGAAGGAGGCGUUGUUGAAGUCGUCGGGGUUGGGGACGACGAGCUCGUUGAUAUCCUUCGGGAAAACGGAUGGGAUCGUUUUCCAUAUAGUCCACAUUCUGUCGACGUUAGCGUGAUGUGCGUAGAAGAGAGGGUCUCUUCCGGCGGAGUAGAAGUUCCCCAUGUCUUCGCGGAAAUUGUUGGCGGGGUUUCCGGUCCAGACAGCCGCCCUCCGACAAUCCUCCCUUGGAGCGUGGCGGGGGCAAGUCUCCGUCAACGUAAGGCUCGCCCAUGAAGUUGGUAGCGGAUUCGACAUCACCAACCAUUUCCUUGUACAGCUGAUUGAGGUUGUUGGAGAUGAUCUGUACGGGAUCGGUGAUCGGGGGGUUGGUUAGGGCAAGAGAAACGAUGGCCGGGGGCCGAUGCGUCGGGUCGCGGUUGACGUCGUAGAGUGGCGACGCGUCCCUGUCGAACAUCGAGGGCAUCUGCAUGCCCCUAGGGUUGUCCCAGUUCCAGUAGGGCAGGGCGAAAUCGAGAUCUCCGAUGAAUUCGCCCAUGAUUCUCUCGAAGAAAUAGAGGUACCACCUGUGUAGGGAUGAAUCCAGAAUUUGUCGUUAGGGGGGCUAAAUCUAAAAGUAUUUGCAGUGGGGGCUCCCGUCCGCAAGACAAUUUUUUUUAACCAUUCCGUAUAGAUUUAAUUGGCUUAACAUUAGAAAUCAGUCACUUACUAUAAAAAAUAGUUGUUCGCAUUCCAUUAAUUCAACAACAAGUACAUUUAAAGCAUAUACAAACCUACCUCUGUGCAAUUUUUUAAAAUAUUAUUUCGACUUCUAAAAGAAUAAACUAAUUUUCAUUGUUAAUUAAUAGUUCAAAAUUUUAGUUUAUCUUGAAGAUUAACUCAAAUUAAAUAUUCAAUAUUACCUAAUUAAACAAAAAUGAGACAAAAAUAACACAAAUUUUUAACAAACUAACCUAGCAAAUCACUGUAAAAUGUUAAGCAAUUCUUUCUUGUAUUUCUUCUAUAUAUUAAAAACAAAAAAAUUAGGGAGGGGGCUUCAGCCCCCGUGGAUCCGCCACUAACCUGUGGAAGGGGAAGAAGAUCCAUGAGUUGUGAACCUGGAUAUCGAUGCCGGGGUGGUCCACCUGGUCGUAGGGGCCGUUGCAGUAAGCGCAGUGGACGUUGGCCUGCUGAGUGAAGCCGCGGGGAUCGUUGGGGUCCGUCACGUCCAGAUCCUUCAUCAUCUGGAUGGCUUUCUCGUACUUGGCUAUGUAUUCCGGUGUCAGCCUGUGCGCCGCCGGCCUCCUGCGAAGCUUUGUGAACGUCGGAAGCGUGUACUCUUCCUCGUCGUCCGUGUAGGGCGGGCAGCAGUUGGCGUCUAGAGAUAUUAUCUCCCCGUUUCUAGAAGUAUAGGCACCUUUGGGAUCACACUUGCUCAGGUCAGGAGGUGAAAUCGGAACCGCCUCAGCUUUGCGGAUGAGGCCGCUUGCGCCGUAUAGACCACCCAGACCAAGCAGCAUGUUUCUGCGGUCUACACGGCCGCCGCCGCCUCCAUCACUGCUGCACGACACCUCAAAGCGGCGCCUCCGCCUGCUGGCGAGCUGGGAGGUGGUGCGGAGGUUGGGGUUGGUCGUGGUCGCCAUCACCAUGAAUGAAGAUUGAAGGGAAGCCAUGCUUGAUUGAUUGAUGCUUGCAUUGCGCUCGAGGCAUGCAUGUCUAUAUAUAGUAGGCGUGGACACGAGUUUUAAGAAAAAUAAUGAUACUUAAUGGGAUUAUUUUCGAAAAUGAAUUAGGAAGAUGUUUUGGAGACGAAAAUAGAAAAUUGACCUUUUGCCAGGCUGCCCUUUCACUAAAUGGUUGUAUGCACUUAUCUUUUUUUUAUCUAUAAAGAGGUAUUUUCUCCAUUUAAAAAACUUAUCGAGGUAAUUAUGAAGACUAUUCAUUUUUAUCGUUGUAAAGUUAAUUAAAUUAUAAAAAUUAAAGUUGAUAAAGUUCUUAUUAAACAUCAUCGCUCUUCUGUCUUUGGACGACAAAAUUAAUUAUUUCAAAUAGAUAAAGAACUUGAUUUUCCGAUAUGGCUUCUCAUACUAAUUAAAUAAUCUAAUCCUAUAAUGUAUUUCAUAUAAAGUUAUCAAAUUAACAAUAUUCUGUGUGAAUUUUUUUGCCUUGAGUGUGUGUAUAGAGGUAGUCAGGGCCGGCCCUGAGGGUGGGCGGGCAUGGGCGACGGCCCAGGGCCCCAAAAAUUUGAGGGCCCAAAAUUUUUAAUAUAUCCUAUUAAUUAUAGAUCUUAUGUAUACUAACAACAUAGUUCAUCUAUUGAUUUUGGGCCCAACAUAAUUUAUUCUCAAAUUUAGAUCUAUACUUAAUAUAGAGAGUUUUCAAUUUGAAAUCAAUUUCAAAGUAAUUUCAAAAUUGAGUGACUAUUUUGUAGUUAUAAUAUUAAUAAAAUUGAAGGUUUAUGUUUAAACUAUAUAUUUUUAUUUUUAUUUUUAUUUUCAUUUUCAUUUUCUUUAACUUCUUAUUUGUUGUUACAUUUCUUUCCAAAAUUGUGAAAUUCAAUUAAUUAUAAAAUAUUUAAUAUGCAUAUCAAAUUAAAGAUCACAAUAAGAGUUUUAAUAUGAUAUAUUUUAUGAAAAAUAUUUGAUUUAAAAUGUAAAAUUUAUGCAUGUUCAAAUAUUAAAGUUUUAUAAAUUUCUCUCACCUCUCUCAUCUUUACGAAUAAAUAUAUUUUUAAUUCUUUUAAAUUAGUAUUUUAUUUUUAAUUUUUUUAACUUAUUUUUUUGUUUUUGUAUUUCAUAAUAUCAAAUUUUAUAAUUGUGAAUUCUUUUUUUAUUUUUUUUAAUAUUCAAUUCAAAUAUAUAUAAUUAAAAUUAAUUUUUUAUUAUAUUUAUAAGUAUAAUAAUUAAAUUAGUAUUAAUUUUAUAUAAAUAGUAAAAACAAAAAAUAUUUCCCGUGCAUGAGAUGCAAAUGGUAGUUGCACCUCGCCGCCGGUAAUAUAUUUAAGUAUAUAAAUUAAUUAAUAUUAACAAGGCGCCCGGUGAUCACCGGAGGCAUCCUUGCCGCUGGUAUUUCUGCCGCUACUUUGAAAAAUACGGCCGUCGGUAAAUCUGGCCGCAAAUUGUGUACGUUUUUUGGUAGUGGUAAUAUAUUAGGGCCCAAUUUUUUAAUUUCGCCCAGGGCCUCAGUUUUGUCAGGACCGGCCCUGGAGGUAGUUAUAGAAUUUAUCUUUUGUGUUCUCAAAGGAACUUAAUUAAGAUCCAAUGUGAUUGAUACAUUUCGACUAAAUGGAUGGGCAAGAUUCUUUUAACGCCCAAUAUUAAUUCCAUCUCAAAUCGGAUCUUAUAUAAUACUGUAUUUUAUAUAUUCUAUAAUGCAUUUUAUAUAUUACGUGUCUAUUAAAUUAACAUUGAUCUUAGGAGUGAUACAAGUUUAAAAAAAAGCUAGCUGUAUAUUUGGUGAGUAGAGAAGGGAUUUCAGAAAUUAGAAAAAAUGGUGAUAGGUAGUGGAAUUAUUUUAAAAAAUGGACUAAAAAGAUGUUUCAUGAACGAACGAAAAUGGCAAAAUAGGAAGAUGAGUCGUGGUCGGAGGAAAUAUUAUAAUGCAUCGUAUCCUUUUUUGGUUCGUAUAAAGAUUUUUAUUUGAUCCUCAUCGAGAACAUGCAUAUUGCGAAUACUUAAUUUAUUUCAAUAUAUAUAUAUUAAUUUAUUGGGAGCAUAUGCUAAAUAAAUUAAAUUAAUCCGAAUCAAAAGCGCUUAAUUAUCACUACAUUACAUGCAUUAUGACAAAAAGCCUGCGGCUAAAGAUCUUCAGUUUAAGUCUAUUGUCAUAUUGUUUUUAAAAUAUUAUUUAUCCAUUCCGCAUAUGGAUUGGUCAGAUUUAGAUACACAAAUCUCAAAUGUAUUUAAUUAACAAAUUGAUUGAUAAAUUUUAGAAUUCAAAAAUUAAAUCAAUCAAAUACGCGUGUCCACAGUCAAUGGAUUGAAAAUAUGCAGGUAUCUAGAUAAGAUAUAUUAUUAUUAUUAUUACACUGUUAACUAUACUGCAGUACACUUUUAUAUAUACAGACAUAAUUAAAAUAUGCAGGUAUCUAGAUAAUAAGAUUAUUAUUACACUAUUAACUAUACUGCAGUACACUUUUAUAUAGAGAUAAUUACUAGAGAUAUGUGCUAUUACCCAUACUUCGCUCGAGACAGAAAUAAAUACGAUUGACCAUUCAAUUAAACACUACGACACCAUACUCGUGCAUGUACUAACGAUCUUAUUAUAAGUGCACCUUCCCGUGCGAUGCACAGGUCAGUAGAAUUGUAAUCGAUAUUGAUGUGAAUAUCAUCAUAUUCGAUUCGUAUUUGUGAAAAUACUCUAAUAUUUGAUUCAGCAUUCGAUUCGAUCACGAAUACUAAAUACGAUCCCAUAUUCGAUUCGAUGUUAUUUUUGAAUUAUUUGAUACAUUUUUUAAAAUUAAUUAAAUAAUUUUUUUACGAAUAUUCGAUUCGUUUUCCAUCAUAUUCAAUUCAAAACUAUUCGAUUUGAAAUUCUGAAGGAAAAAAUAUGUUAAAUAAUAUUCUAAAAAAUAUAGGAUUAUAUCCAAUAUAUUUACCUAAUAAUUAAACACACAAUAAUAAAGUGUUCAAUUCAUAUUGUUUUAUGUCCCGUGGUUUGUUUCUAGGAUUGUGGUAAUAAAGACUGAUUGGAUCAGUCUAGUACAGUUGUUGUUUGAAUUUGUAAUUUUGUGUAACGGCAUUGUCAUCUUGUUGAGAUUAAUAGGAGUUAAUUUGUUUAAUUAAUUAUUCAUGAGUUUCUUAUAAGAUACCUUCCUUCGUUCCGUAAAAAUAGUCAUAAUUUUUCAUUUUAGAACGUCCAUAAAAAAAUAGUGUUAUUCCAUUUAUAAACAAUUUAGAUCCUUACCUUUGGGAUGAGAUAAAAUGAAAUUCCAUUUUAAAUCAUAAACUAGCUAUAUAGGAAGCAUUUUCAGCUCUUGAAUUCAUCUGUUGUUCGAAUUUCAUAGGAAGCAAGUUUUUUUGACUCAUUAUUUUCACAGCGAAUUCAUCAUGUUACACAUACCCUAAAGUGAUAUAUUUACCCUAUUUGAUAACAUGAUAAGUAUAUUUGAAGCGCUCACUAUUUUAUUUGAACUUUAUUAUCGAGUUUAAACGAGUUUUGAAAUAUUGAAUUAAAUUGAAAUAUCCAUGUUGAUCGUUUAAGAAGCAAAUUUUUGGCAUGGGUUUAUAAAAAAUACAUCCUAGCCUCCAUCCCUAAUAAGUGCGGUGUGAAGGAGUGGGCAAUAGUUCUUUAAAAAUAAUUGAGAGAUGUGUAUAAAGUGGAUAAAAUGGCUUACUAGAGCUGAUUUGUUAGGCCUUACUUUCUCUCUGCCCCACUAAAAUAAGCUCAAUUCUUUUGAGAACAUAGAUUAAUAAACUUUCUUUUGAGAAGAAAAUUAAAGUGGUGGCAAAAGUAAUGUGGUCCAUACCAAUUAAGCAAUUUGAGUACAUUUUUUUUUUCACUCAAAAGGAAAACGAGCCUAUUCUAGCGGGACAUUCCAAAAUAGAAAACGAGCAUAUUCUGCUGGGACGAGGGAAUAAUAAAUUGUUUGUGAGAUGAGUAGUUUGUAAAUAUUGUGUGUGAAAGGUGUAUGUCUUAAAUUGAAAAGACCAUACCUGUAUUGUGAUUGUACGGAAAGGUGGAACUGAGCAUCGCGGCGGCGGCGAGGCAGGAGGCGGCGGUGGUGAGGAGAAUCGAGAGAGAGAGAGAAAGAUGCCAGCAGACAGUGACGGAGGGCAGUGGGCGGCCCUUGGCGGCAGCGGAGACGACAAGGUACUGGCUGUGCCAGAAUUAUUUAGUUGCAUAGGAUCCUUCCAAAUGUAAUUACUGAUUCACUGUUGGAUUAACAAGAAUUAAAUUACUUCAUAAUACAGUAUUCCAACUGUUCGAUAAAAGCCCUUAAUGAAAUCUUCCAUAGAUUACUUUGCAAAGUUCAUAAAAUUACUCAAAAGCAUUGUUGCAUAGUCCGUACAUAGAGAUGGUCGAUUAUCUUAAUUAUGUCUAGAUUUAUUUACGACACACACACACACACAUCACAAAAUCACACAUACUGACUAAUAAGGUUCCCGAAAGCCGGCAUUAUUAGGCGCCAUGGUGGCCGUGAAAUACCAUGAGACGAUAUCAUGGGUGGUGGGUCCGUCUAGUCUGGUGGCGGCGGAGAGCCCUACCUGAACCUGCUAAGGAAGAAAGCCGCUCAAAUCAUACUCAUAGCUGACUUCAAACGUCUUCGAGCCGGCGGUGGCACGGACGGCGAUCUACUUUGUGGAGGCGGCGUAGUUGAUCCUCGCCGUCACCUGCUGCUCGAGUAUGGAGCCGUCGACCUCCGUCGUGUUUCGGGAUGACCUAGACCCGAUGUCGAUGCCGAUGUGGGGAUAGUUCGGAUCCCACGCGCUGUUGACGUAGGUGUCGAACUCGACGGCAAAUACCGAGGGGUUGCUGCCGGAGGAGCCGAAGAUUCCGAGGUUGGCCCCGCUGGAGCCGGUGGGGAUGGUGGAGCGGCGAGAUUGGUGAUGCUGGGUGUGGUGAUGAAGUUUACGGUGGUUUCAAAGUCGACUUGGCCACCGGCUUGGGAGAAUUGGACCGGGUUCGUGUACAAGACCCGGCCGACACUACCGAUCUGCGGUCGCCUUGGUAGGUGAGGUCGGUCGGCUGGUUGUCCCAGAAGUUAUAGGCGAAGGCCGUUGAUCGGGACUUCGCCCUGUUGGUGGCGACGGCGAGAAGAAGGGCGAUGGAGAUUAGGGUUUGGAGAAGGUUGGCCAUGGCUUAGUUGUGCAGUGAAUGAUGUCUACUACUUGCUCCUAUUUAUAAUGAUCGAAAAUAUCUACUACUUACCUACCACAGAUCCACAUCAGGGGCCCUGGAUGGGGUGGUCGACUACAUAAGCCCAAAAAAAUAAGGGCUCGGAAAAUAUAUAGAUCCAUGUAAGUAUUAUAUAUAUGUAUAAAAUAAUUAAAAGCCAACUAAUGAUUGAAUUGAUUAACUUGGCGCAGUGGAAAAAGGACAUUUUUAAUUCCUCUUAAUUACCAAUAUUUUAUUUAGUGACCAAUUUUUUUGUUUAGAUAUAGGGCCCAGCCCCUAUUUUGAUAAAUUAAGUGUAUGUAUUUCAAAUUAACAUUAUUUUAAGUUGUCGAAUUUUUUUGUUAAGAUUUAGGGUCCAGCCCCUAUUUUGUUAAAUUAACUUUAUUUUAAGUGAAUGACAUAAUUAUUAAUAUAUUUAUUAAUUAUUAUGUAAUUUGAUAAAAAAAUGUUUUAAAUAAUUUUAGUUUAUAAUUAAUUUAUUUCUCAAUUAUAAAUAAAUGGCCUAAAUUAAAAAAUUCGCAAAGGGCCUAUGUUCUCUUAGCCCUACCCUUGCACUGUUGCACAUGGUAUAUAUAUCUAUUCUAUGAAUAUAAGUGAUUAUUUUAUAAACCACGUGAAAGCACUUGUUCCCACUAGCACUAUAAAAGCAAUAAAUACAACGGAAAGAAAAUAAAUUACAAUUGAAUACAUUAGGAGAAAAAUUACUUCUAACCUAUGGAAUUACUAACAACGAUACUUAUACCAAAGCUAAAUUGGACCAACUAACUGUACACUCUUGUAUUAUAUCAACCUACCAGACCUUAGUAUUCACGAGUCUCCCACAGUCUAGACUGAUUCACAAUAUAUACCAACAUUGGAACAAGUUCAGUAAUACACUCUAUUUAUAUAUAUUAUUAUAUACACAAAAAUGCAUGGCUGCUGUGGUAUUACGGAAGGAUCGAGAAUUACUCGAUCCUUGGGAAAAGGUUCAAAUGAAACCUUUAUUAUUACUCUCCGUCCCCCAAAUAAUAUCAUAUCCGAUUUGGGAUAUUACCCCACCACUAAUAAUACUUUAUUUAUUCUAACUUCUCAAUCUUUCACCAUUCUCAAUACUAAUUAUAACACAUUUUCAUCACUUUCAAUACUAAUUAUAAUUUCUUUUCUCCACUGCUAAUACGUACACUUAACAAUUUUUCCUUAAAACCAGUGUCGUCCCCUACUAAGAAGUUAUUUGGGGGACGUAGGGAGUAUUUUUUAAUGAUAUGGCAUCCAAAUAUGUUGUGACAAUCCAGUGAGCAAUAUCAACUUUUUGGAGCUGAAAACCGAUGUGAGGUACAACUAAUACACAAUAUGUUGUGGCAAUCCAGUAAUAUACCCUAAGGAUGCGUCAUCUUUUGUUGUAAAUUUAUCAUGGAAAAAUGAGGGAUAAACAAAAUUUCACCCAUUAAAUCCUUCAUUUUUUCCCUCAUUUCUUACAAAAUAGAAUUUGACCCUUACUCAUUUCUCAUUUUCACUGCAAAGGGGGGCUAAUAUUAUCUCUCUAUUUUUGGUAUAAUGAAGAAUUUGAUACGUAAUUACAAUUAAUUAUAAUGAAGUGUGUAUUUUAGUUGCUCAUAUUCUUGGAUUAUUUAUGCUUUAAUGAAACGAUCCACUGCCUUUAACAUUUUGGCAUUUUAAAGUAAACGCCGAAAUGCAACGAUCCACUGCCUUUUAAGUAAACACCCUUGCUAACCCCUGCAUGCGUUUUUUCAUCAAACACUUGGGUUCAUUCUUUUAGGCAUUUUAUCAAACAGUUGUGCUCAGCCUCAUCCUUUUGAUCACAUUCCCAUAUCUCUCCUUAUAUGAAACCGCAUUUUCUAUUUCUCAUAUAUUUCCUAUAUAAUAUUUCCAUCAUUUCUAGCUCAACAAUAAUUCUUCUAGCAAAAUUAUCAUUUCAAAUGCACUCUUUUCCUUUUCUACUUUCUCUUCUGCAUAACAGAAAUACUAAUCCACCAUAAAAUAAUCAUAACUUUUUCUUAAUGAUACGAUGAGGGCACAAAGUUGAGAUGAUAAAAUCAUACAUAUUGGCGAAUGUUGCCGCCGGCUUCCUCUGACUUUUGGAUGCUGAGGGGAGGGGUGGCGGUGAAAUACCAGGAGUUGAUGAUGAAUUUGAUGGUUGUUUCCAUGUCCACCUGCCGCAGAGACCGAGAUACGAUUUUAGAAACAAACGGCAAAAUUACAAUUUCACAUAUAAAAAAUAAAAGACAAUUAAUAAAGCGCAUAAUAUUGGUAAGAUGCUUCCAACCAAUAGGUCGGGAUUGUAUAUCGUGUGAGUGUGUUUUUCAUUUUUUAGUAAUAACAUGUCGUGCUCGGGGCUUUUUUCCGUAUCUGCCCCUGCUUCCCGUCGUCGUGCCCGACUCGUCGGUUUUUGUCAUGCGGAGGUAGGUGGUGGCGUCGGUGAAGUUGGCGUCGCCUUCCAAGCGUAGGCCUUCCGAAUGUGGCGGCUUUUGGUAGAAGUCGUAGGUGAAGGAGACUGCAUCGCCGACCGACACGGUGGCGAGGAGGAGGGCGAUGGAGGAGAGGAGAGGAAUUAAGGUUUGGAGAAGGUUGGCCAAUUUGAUUAAAUGUAUUUGGAUGUAGUGGAUGAUGGUGUAUCGAUCUCUUGCUCCUAUUUAUAGUUGUAAAUAUAUAUUAAUAAUGGUAUCAUUCAAUCAUUAUACUUUAGGCCGGCCGGGCCGGAUCCUCUAUUCCAAAUUCUAUGUCUCAUUGUUCAUAUUCACUAUUAAUUUCACUAUUUCAAUAAUUAAAAAAAUUCAUAGAGUUUGGGGCAGAGGAUCCCGUUUGAAUCCCACAUGGAUCCUCUGUCCCAUAACUUAUUGUGUUCCUUCCCAUUAUUAAUCUCGAUAUUAUAUUUCUACUUUGGAGUUAAUUCAUUAUAAACCCAUGAAAGAUCAGACGAAAUUCAUCCAAUAAACAUUUAUAAAUUUAUAUUUAAAUUUUGUUUCGCGGGUAUCUGAUAGAUAAUAGGUAUUCGUGGGUGGCGAAUUUGGGUAGCAUUUGAUAUUCAUAGAUAGUUUCAUGAUUAAAAUCCAAUAUUCAUUUAGUUCACGGGUAUGGUAUGACAGCCACUAUCUGUGUACGUCAUACCUGAUUGCCAGUAUGACAAAUAUAAAAGUUGUGAGAUGCACAGCAGCUUAAUUAUUCAAAUAGAAAUAUCAUCACAUGUGCAUUGAUAUUUCACAAAAUAAAUACUACUACUAAUAAAUACUCCCUCCGUCCACCAAAGAUAUGCCACUUUACUUUCGGUACGAGUUUUAAUAAAAUGUGAGUGAAGUUGGUAGUGGAGUAAGGGUCCCACUUUAAAUGUGAGUGGAAUGGUAUGGACCUUACUACUAAAAAUGGAUGUGGCAUAUUUUUCGUGGACGAACGAGAAAGAAAAUUGUGGCAUAUCUUUGGUGGACGGAGGGAGUAGUACUCAUUGAUAAUGCAUGCCAACACAUGGUUCUUGCAAGUCAUAUAUAUACCUCAUCAGCAAUAUAGUAAAAUGAUGAUUUGACAACCAGAUUAAGACACCAAUUAUUCUUGUCGGGACACAGACAUAUAUGCAUAUAGAAUUAAUAUUAUUUACUAUUUCGUUUAUACACGUGAAUUAUGCUUUGGAUGCAACAUCGCCACGUCUCUUUCAUUUAUACUUCUCUAGUGUAUUGCGGACAAAAUAGUUAGUGUCUUUAAGAAAUUAAAAAUUUUCAAAUACAUAAGAAAGAAUAAUUAAUCUAAUUGGUGCGCCGGCAACUAAAACUUUUUUCAAUUCACUUUAUAUUUUAUAUACUCCCUCCGUCCACGAUUUAAUGCCCCAUUUUAGUGUGGGCACGGAGACUAAGAAAACUGAAAAAGGUGAUGUGAAUGAAAUAUAAGGGUAGUUGACUAAAGUGAUAAAGAUGCUGUGAGUGGGUUCACUAGUGAUAAAGUAUAGGAAAUAUAGAAUAUAAAAAUGAUAAAGGUGUUUUAAGUUGGGUCCAUUAGUGGCAAAGAGUAAUAAAUAUAGAAAAAGAAGAGUAAAAAAGUACAAAAAGCAUAAUAGGGCUUUAAUUUGUGGACAAAAAAUUAAGAGCAAGUAGGGCUUUAAAUUGUGGACGGAGGGAGUAUUUAACAUUACAAGUCAAUUGCUUGCAGAAUUUGAGCUUGUCUCCCGUGAUGGAGACCUCACCAUGCGGCAACCCGUGCCUGCGCCUGCCUUUUUUCUUCCCGUCUUGCUCUAUCCAGAUAUUAUACGUGAUCCAACUCUUUCCAGAUAUUAUACGUAAAUGAUAAUUUUACUAACAAAAAUUACACUUUUUAUCAAUAACAAAUGAAACUAUGCAUACAAAACAGGAGGUAAAUGAUAUUUUUCUUAAUAACAACUGAUACUUUUUCAAUGCAAAUAAUACUUCGCAAAUGAUAUUUUAAUAUAAAAGUAAAUGAUACUUUGUAUAAAAAUAAAUGUUAUAUUACAAAUGACACUUUUAAUGCAUACCAAUGACACUUUUAAUAACAAAAAUUGAGAAAAAAAAAUUAGAAUUCGGCCUUAAUUAAAAUUUGGACAACAUUUAUUUGGGCAAAGAAGAAAAACACCUGAAUUUUUUUUUUUCCUUUUUUGAGAGAGAAAAACUCAUGAAAUUUCAUGCAAAAGGUAAUGCAUAGCCAACCGGGCUCAAUCAUCUUUCGGCGGUUUUGGUUUGAUUCUUCCAACAUCUAGGGUAGCAUUCACACAAAAUCAACUCGUGUUCAAAAAUCUGAAAUUAAAAUUAACGAUGUGUCUCAGUAUAGAGAUAAGAACAUACCCCUCAAAUGGUUCGAGCCAAGGUCUAAUUCCUUCAGCAGUGUGAUAUUCCAAAUUUGAGUAGGCAUAUAUCCGCCAAAGUUGUUGUCUGACAAGCGAAUACUCUCAAGUUGUGGACAUUGGUACAAACUCGAUGGUAUAUCUCCUUCCAAAUUGUUAAAGGAUAGGUUCACUAGUUUAAGUCUUUGAAGGUUAUUGUACGUGCNUAGACAACAAGAAAUAUCUAUUGUCUAUUCUAUGACAAAAAAAUUAAAAAAUUCUAAUAUAUCUGCAUCCCUGUAUUACAAUACCAAUAUAUAUGAAAAAAUAAAAAUAAUUAAAAAUCAAAUAAUCAAACAAUACUUAUAAACCACUAAUACUCACAAUCAAAUAUUUACACAUCAGUGUAAAUAUUGGGUUCGAGUCCUCUGCGUGUGUUGAUCAAGCGGUAAGGGGUUAAUGCCUAAGGUCAAAGGUCUGGGAUUCGAGUCCCCUGUGGUGUAGCCUUUUAAUUUCGUUAUUUAAUAUUGUAAAUUUAUAAAAAAAAAAAAGUAUAUUUACACAUCAACAAUUGUAUUAUCUUUAAUACGCCUUCAUUCAUCUAAUAAAAAAAAUCUCUAAUAAAAUCUCCAACUAACUCCGGUCAUGAUCAUCUCUUGAAGGCGGAGGAAGGUGGAGUCCGUCGGGAAAUGGGUACUGCCUUGAUAGAUGAGAUCUUUCGGCUGGUCGCCCCAGAAGUCGUAGGUGAAGGACGUCGUUUGGGACAACGCCGUGUUGGAAACGGAGAGGAGGAGGACGAUGGAGGAGAGGAGAGGAGUUAAGGUUUGAAGAAGCUGGUUGGCCAUGGCUUAAUUGAUUUAGAUUUAGAGAUGUGGUGGAUGAUGGUGGUAUCGAUCUCUUGCACCUAUUUAUACUAGUAUGGUUCAUGCCUGUUAAUAAUUGUAUAUAUCAAUCAUCGUGCAUCUAUCCCAAAUUAUAUGUCUUAUUAUUCACUAAUUAGAUGGAUUAAAUCCUGAUUAGUAACCAUAAAAUUAAACUGUCAAUGAGGCCUUGCUCUAGUGGCAAAGCUGUGACACCGAAUAACUUUUCUUUGUGAAAUGUCUUGGGUUCAAUCUCGCCUGCAUGCGGUGAUGUGUGUCCAUUUUAGGUGGUGUGGUAUUCUUGUCUGCGUGCGGUGUUGUAUUGUUUAGUGUUGAGGUCCCACAUGCAGAGCGUUCUUGCCUGUGUACGUGUCACAGCCCAAAACCAUUUAUUUUCUUUACAAAUUUUAUAUAUGAAAAUUAUUUAAUUUUUAAGUUAUAGAGUUUUUGAAAUAUAUAUAGUAUCAAUUUUAUGUUAACUUAGUCGUGUCCCUAAUUAAAAGAAUGACUUUAAAAUAAAACUUAAGCCUUAAAAAUUUAAUCUACAUUCAUAUAUAACUGAAAUUACAUGCAUGUCUAAAUAUUAUUUAUAAUUAUCAAUAACAAGAUUAAUGAUUCUAUAUCUCUAUGUUUAUACAUGUAUUCACGUAUGACAUAGUAUAUAUUAGCUAUUAAGUUAAAAACUAAUAAAAUACUACACUUUUGCAUAGGAUAUAUAUUUAAUUAGUAGUAGGAUAGGACACGUGUAUUAAUUUUAAGGGCAAGUAAUCAAACUUUUGAAUGAUUCAUCAUGCUUAAAAAAAAAAGAGACCUAGAUAGAUGAUUCAUCAGAUUCAAAAACAAGUAUAAAUAGACUUCGGGUUUGAAAUUUUAAUUAAUUUGCAACAACAAUUCAAACUGACUGUAUUAAGGUAAGUAGUUACAGAUUUCAUACACAUAUUAUAUGAUUUCGCACACAUAUUAAGGUAAGUAUAUAUAAAUAUUUUUUAAAAUCAUAUAUUAUAUAAUAAUUAUAUUUAAGUUUUAUAUUAUUCUUUAUAAACUAUUGUUUCAUUCUAUAUAAUUAGGUGUGGCACGACUAGGACGUAACUUUCUAUUGAAUUUCUCAAGUUAAUCUUAGAGUUCAAGUUUCAGGUGUGAGAUUUAUUUAAAUACAUGUCGUACGUGGUUAUUUAUUGUCCAUUUUAAUAAGAUGUGUUUACCAUAUGUGUUAUGACGCAUAUUUUUAGGAUAUCACUAGGUGCCCAUAAAUAGGAUCCAGGACUUCACCGUCCUUGGAUUGCCACAAUGCGAUUUGAGGUUUAUUUUGAGGAUGUCGUUAGGGGCCCGUACAUAGGGUCCAGGACUUUAAUAGUCAUUGGGUUGCCAUAGUGCAAAUAUUGAGGAUAUAUAUGAAGUGACCGUAUGUGUUACCGUUUCAUUAACGUGGACAAUGAUUGCAUGUUUAAGAGACAAUAACCAAUUUUUCAGACAUUUGUGAACAAAAUGAAGCAUGUUUAGAGAUCCUUAAUACAGGUGUACGAAAUGAUGGAUAAAUAAGUUUGUGAAACAAAUUUCACCAUACCUAACCCCACAAUUAUUUGCGGUCGAAUUUCCUCGUCACAGGAAAAAGAGAUGAUGACAAAAGGGAAAAAAUUAAUUAACAAAGUAGAAGAUGCAUGACAACUGUAAAAGAAAAAUAAUGCUACUAAUUAAAUAGUCCAAACUUCAUACGUUUCAUAUCAUAAGUGGCAGUUCUAUUUUUUUUUUUGCGAAUGUGAACAAAAUAACGAAUAAUUUUUAAAGUAAUAGUAAUAAGGAGAUGUGUUUUGACAGAAAACGACAUGAGCGGCCUAAAAAUAAGAGGGAAAAAGAUAAUCAUAUAAAUAUUCAAAAUCAAACGGAUUGGCAUGUAUUCAUCAUUUUUUAUUUUUUAUUUUGAUAAUUUAACAGUACUCCCUCCGUCCGUCAAAAGUAGACCACUUUGGUUGGGCACGGGAUUUAAUAAAAUUAGUGAUGAUUUUGAUGUAGUAGAGAAAGAGUUCCACCACUUUAUGAGAUGUGUGGUUGAGAUUGAAUUUGUUGUGAUUUUUUUGUAAAUAAAGAGUGUUUGUAAGGAUAAAAGAUUAAAGUGGGUGGUGGGACCAUUUCCAUAAAAGGAAAGUGGUCUACUAUUUGCGGACGCCCAAUAUAGUAAAAGUAGUCUACUUUUGGCGGACGGGGAGAGUAUUAAAUAAAUAAAUUUAAAGGUUGCACCCCUUACUGCUUGGCUUUUAGAUUAUGUUAUAAUAAUAAAAUUAACAGCACGUUUACAAUAUAAAAUUAAUUAUGAUAAAUACAAUAUAUUAAUAAUAAAUACUCAAUUACCUCUUAACAUAAUUCGCGCAUCAUGGCUUUUAGCUUAUAUUAUAAAGAUAUAAUAUGUUGUCUAUAAUAAUCGACGGAAGGUAAUAGACAACAUGUUUUAUAUGUUGUCUAUAAUAAUAUAGACAGUAGAUCUAGUGUUAUAGAUAACAAUUAAUACUUGUUGUCUAUAUGAUGAUAGACACCAAAAAUCUCUGUUGUCUAUUCUAUGACAAAAAAAUUUAAAAAAAUUCUAAUAUAUUUACAUCCCUGUAUUACAAUACCAAUAUAUAUGAAAAAAUAAAAAUAAUUAAAAAUCAAAUAAUCAAACAAUACUUAUAAACCACUAAUACUCACAAUCAAAUAUUUACACAUCAACAACUGUAUUAUCUUUAAUUACGCCUUCAUUUAUCUAUUAAAAAAAAUCUCUAAUAAAAUCUCUAACUAACUCCGGUCAUCAUCUCUUGAAGGCUUAGAAAAUGUCCAAAUACAGCGGCACAUGCUCAUUAUUGUGUGAGCGAUGAGAACUUUGCGCUGAACCUAUAAAGUAACUAUACUUAACUGGUAAAGUAAUUGUAUCCCGUGAAUCUAAAGGAAGACUACACACGUUGAUAGAGUUUGAAAGAAAAGAAUAAAGAGAAUGAAAAUCCAAAGAAUUUGCUUCUUCCGUUGAACAAUCCCUACACAACAUUGAAAUAUCAAUGAAAAUAAUGGCUAUCGUAUACUCCCUCCAUCCAUGAAAGAACUUCAUAGGAGGGAGUGACACGGGUUUUAAGAAAAAAUAUUGUUAAGUGUAUUGAGAGUGGAUAAAAGGUAGUUGAGUGUAUUGGGAGUGGUGAAAAUGUGUUAUAGUUAAUAUUGAGAGUUGUGAAAAGUGAAAAGUAAGAGGAUUAUAAGUGGUGGGGUAUAGUCCAAAAAUAGGUAGGAAGUUCUUUUGUGGACGUCCCAAAAAGGAAAGAUAUGAAGUUCUUUCGUGGACGGAGGGAGUAUUAUUUUGCAGCAGCAACCACGUUUGAAAACUCGAUCCCUCUGUUCUUGAAUUUGUGAAAUUUCCGACUGAUUUAUUAGAUUCACCAUUUAUUUCAGUUUAAUUAGUCUAUAUAUAGAUAUUUCUUAUAUUAUUAAAUUGUUAACCUCAUGGUAGAUUUCAAGAUUUGAAAAUUCAACAAAGAGCUUGAGAAUUAUUGAGAUUGGAAGGGGAAGAUGAAACAUAAUUGGGUGAAAUUAGAAACCAAUUAAAGUCACAAGAUUGAACAAAAACAUAACUUAAAAACACAAAAUAAGCAAAUCGUAGAUGCAGUAUCUUGCAAGAAAAAGUUCAUAUUCCCAAGGCUAUGAUGAGCACGAAUUAGGGUGUGUCUGCAUUUUAUCCCUCUAAAUAGAGGAAUAACAAAAUUUUAUUCUUUAAAUGUUUGCUUUCUUAUCACACAUUCUACACAAACACCAUUUUUUCUUCCUUAUUUUCACUUCAAGGAGGANUAAUAUUAUCCCUCCAAUUUUGGUGUGAUAAUAUUAUCUCUUCUUGAAGUGAAAAUAAGGAAGAAAAAAUGGUAUUUGUGUAGGAUGUGGGAUAAGAAAGCAAACAUUUAAAGGUAUAAAUUUUUGUUAUUCCUCAUUUAGAGGAAUAAAAAGCAAACACACAUUAGAGUCUACUUACAAUUUAGGCGCAGGCUGUGCGAGAAUUACUUAGUCGAAUAGGAUCCUAAGUAUUUAUAUUUCUCAUGUUCUUGUGUAUUUUUUUACUGAUUCACUAUUGGAUUAACAAGAAUUAUCUUACUUUAAAUUUCUUGCUUUAAAAAAAAAAAAGAAUUAUCUUACUUCAUGUAUGGUAUGCCAACUGUUCGAUAAAGGUCCUUUUAGAAAUCUUCUAUUGAUUACCUUGCGAAGACCACAAAACUAGACACACCCAAAAGCAUUCUUGCAUAGUUUAUACAUAGAGAUGGCCGAUUGAUGAUCGUCUUAUUUGUAGACUUAACGCGAGCAGACUCGAUCGCUUAGUCCUUAUUGAUUUACGACACACAUGCUCACACACACACAUACACACAUCACAAAAUCACACAAAUUGACGGAUAAUGUUGCCGUUCAGCUCCUUCCUGAACCUCACCGCGGCAUUUUUCUGCACCAUAGUGGCCGUGAAAUACCACGAGACGAUGUCAUGGACGGCGACGUGUUGUCCGGUGGCGGCGGAUAGCCCGACCUGAACCUGCUGAGGAACAAAGUCGCUCAAAUCGUACUCAUAGUUGACAUCAAAUGUCUGCGAGCCGGCGGUGACUUUCACGGAGAUCAUCCUUGUGGCUCCGACGUAGUUGAUCCGCGCAGUCACCUGCUGCCCGAGUAUGGAGUUGUCGACCUUCGUCGUGUUGCUGGAUGCCCUAGAGCCGAAGUCGAUGCCGAUGUGGGGAUAGAGCGGAUCCCACGCGCCGUUGACGUAGGUGUCGAUUUCGACGGCGAAGACCGAGGGGCUGUUGCCGUUGGAGCCAAAGAUUCCGAGGUUGGCUCCGUUGGAGCCAGGGGGGAUGGUGGAACCGACGGGGGCAAUGAAGAAGGCGAGGCCGUCGGCAGGCUCGUUGUCGGCGCCCGGGGUGAUGAUGAAGUUCACAGUGGUUUCGAAGUCGACCUGCCCACCGGACUGCGAGAAUUGGACCGGGUUCGAGUGCAAGACGCGGCCGACUUGUGAGGGCUGUGCGUCUGUGAGGCGGAGGAAGGUGGAGUCCGUCGGGAAAUGGGCGCUGCCUUGAUAGAUGAGAUCUUUCGGCUGGUCGCCCCAGAAGUCGUAGGUGAAGGACGUCGUUUGGGACAACGCCGUGUUGGAAACGGCGAGGAGGAGGGCGAUGGAGGCGAGGAGAGGAGUUAAGGUUUGAACAAGCUGGUUGGCCAUGGCUUAAUUGAUUUAGAUUUAGAUUUAGAGAUGUGGUGGAUGAUGGUGGCCAGGUAUCGAUCUCUUGCACCUAUUUAUACUAGUAUGGUUCAUGCCUGUUAAUAAUUGUAUAUAUCAAUCAAUCAUCGUGCAUCUAUCCCAAAUUAUAUGUCUUAUUAUUCACUAAUUAGAUGGAAUAAAUCCUAAUUAGCAAUCUUAAAAUUACACCGCCAAUGAGGCCUUGCUCUAGUGGUAAAGCUGUGGCACCGAAUAACUUUUCUUUGUGAAAGGUCUUGGGUUCAAUCUCGCCUGCAUGCGGUGAUGUUUGUCCAUUUUAGAUGGUGUGGUAUUCUUGCCUGCGUGCGGUGUUGUAUUAUUUAGUCUUAGGCGUUCUUGCCUGUGUGCAUAUCACUGUGUGACAAUUAAAAGAAUGACUUUAAAAUAAAAGUUAAGCCUUAAAAAUUUAAUCUACAUUCAUAUAUAACUGAAAUUACAUGCAUGUCUAAUUUUUUUAAUAUCAUAACAAGAUAAGAUUUAUUAAAUAAUUCAGAUGCAUAAAUAAAAAGUUAAUCUAUAAACACAGUAUAGAUAUAUUAUCAAUGAUAGGCCGUGUAUAAGUCUUAAUCUGUAAAACUAUAUCAUCCCAGCCUUAAACGACUACCAUUCCUGCUUUCCCAGAGCAACCACACUGUUCCCACCCACAAAGCUUUAAGCAGUACAUGCAUGUCUAAAUAUUAUUUAUAAUUAUCAAUAACAAGAUUAAUGAUUCUAUAUCUCUAUGUUUAUACAUAUAUUCACGUAUGACAUAGUAUAUAUUAGCUAUUAAGUUAAAAACUAAUAAAAUACUACAGUUUUGCAUAGGAUAUAUAUUUAAUUAGUAGUAGGAUAGGACACGUGUAUUAAUUUUAAGGGCAAGUAAUCAAACUUUUGAAUGAUUCAUCAUGCUUAAAAAAAAAAAGAGACCUAGAUAGAUGAUUCAUCAGAUUCAAAAACAAGUAUAAAUAGACUUCGAGUUUGAAAUUUUAAUUAAUUUGCAACAACAAUUCAAACUGACUGUAUUAAGGUAAGUAGUUACAGAUUUCAUACACAUUAUAUGAUUUCGCGCACAUACGUAUGUAUAUAUAAAUAUUUUUUAAAAUCAUAUACUCCCUCCGUCCCCAAAAUAAGUUCCUCUUUGGGGACGGCACGGAUUUUAAGGAAAAGUGGUAAAGUGUAUUAAUAGUGGAGAAAAAUAUGUUAUAAUUAGUAUUGGAAGUUGUGAAAAGGUGAAAAAGUGUUAUAAUUAGUAUUGGGAGUGGUGAAAAAGUGAAAAGUAAGAAUAAAUAAAGUAUUAUUAGUGGUGGGGUAGUUGUCCAAAAAUGGAAAAAAAGAAAGAGGAACUUAUUUGGGGGACAUCCCAAAAUGGAAAAAGAGGAACUUAUUUCAGGGACGGAGGGAGUAUUAUAUAAUAAUUAUAUUUAAGUUUUAUAUUAUUCUUUAUAAACUAUUGUUCCAUUCUAUAUAAUUAGGUGUGGCACGACUAGGACGUAACUUUCGAUUGAAUUUCUCAAGUUAAUUUUCAAGUUCAAGUUUCAGGUGUGAGAUUUAUUUAAAUACAUGUCAUGAUUAUUCAUUGUCCAUUUUAAUAGUAUGUGUUUACCAUAUGUGUUAUGACGCAUAUUUUGAGGACAUCGCUAGGAGCCCAUAAAUAGGGUCCAGGACUUCACCGUCCUUGGAUUGCCACAAUGCGAUUUGAGGUUUAUUUUGAGGAUGUCGUCAGGGGCCCGUAAAUAGGGUCCAGGACUUUAAUAGUCAUUGGGUUGCCACAGUGCGAAUAUUGAAGAUAUAUAUGAAGUGACCGUAUGUGUUACCGUUUCAUUAACGUGGACAAUGAUUGCAUGUUUAAGAGACAAUAACCAAUUUUUCAGACAUUUGUGAACAAAAUGAAGCAUGUUUAGAGAUCCUUAAUAAAGGUGUACGAAAUGAUGGAUAAAUAAGUUUGUGAAACAAAUUUCACCAUACCUAACCCCACAAUUAUUUGCGGUCGAAUUUCCUCGUCACAGGAAAAAGAGAUGAUGACAAAAGGGCAAAAAUUAAUUAACAAAGUAGAAGAUGCAUGACAACUGUAAAAGAAAAAUAAUGCUACUAAUUAAAUAGUCCAAACUUCAUACGUUUCAUAUCAUAAGUGGCAGUUCUAUUUUUUUUUUGCGAAAGUGAACAAAAUAACGAAUAAUUUUUAAAGUAAUAGUAAUAAGGAGAUGUGUUUUGACAGAAAACGACAUGAGCGGCCUAAAAAUAAGAGGGAAAAAGAUAAUCAUAUAAAUAUGGGUUAAUUGCCUCUAAAUACACCACCUUUCCUUGAAUUCUACAAUUGCACAUCACCUUUAAAAUCCGCCCUUAAAUACACCACCUUUCCUUGAGUUCUACAAUUGCACAUCACCUUUAAAUCCGCCCCAAAAUACAUCAUCUUUAUAUUUUUUCUGUUUUUGCACAUGACUAAAAAAUUCUCAAGAAAUAAAUUAAAGUGUUAAUUUAUAAAUUUAAAUAUCUUUUUAGCAGCGAAAACAUAAUAAAAUAAAAUUCUUUAUAAAGUUUAAAAUCAUAUAUAUAUAUAUAUAUAUAUAAGUAUUUUCGUAAAGAAAUAAAUUCUCUAAUAAAUUUUUAGAAAGAACUUGAAUUAAAAAAAUAAACAAGUCAUGACAUUAAGAAAAUAAAAUGAAAUUUUUAUUUUAAUAAAUUUCACACGAAUUCGAUAUAAUUUGGAAUUUAGAGUUACAAUAAUCAGAAGUACCACAUGAAUAAUAUAAUGAGUUUGAAAGAAAUUUUUUUUAAAGAGGUUCGACACGCCCAUUCGACUUUCCACGCGCCUCCAAUGUCAUUUACCUGAAAUAUUAANUAUAUAAGUAUUUUUCGUAAAGAAAUAAAUUCUCUAAUAAAUUUUUAGAAAGAACUUGAUUAAAAAAUAAACAAGACAUGACAUUAAGAAAAUAAAAUGAAACUUUUAUUUUAAUAAAUUUCACACGAAUUCGAUAUAAUUUGGAAUUUAGAGUUACAAUAAUAAAAAGAACCACAUAAAUAAUAUAAUCAGUUUGAAAGAAAUAUAUAUAUAUUUUUUUAAAGAGGUUCGACGCGCCCAUUCGACUCUCCACGCGCUACCAAUGUCAUUACCUGAAAUACUAAAUAUGGGAUAAGCAUACAUAAUAUACUUAGUGUGGGAACAUGCAAUUAUUGUCCACGUUAAUAAAAUAGUAACACAUACGAUCAUAACAUUCAAAACGACACAAUUUUGCCAAUAUGGAAGCCACGUCAUUUAAAGUGGUAACACCCUAAUCUAACUAAAGUGUUAAAUAUAAAUUUAAAGCGGAAAUAUAAUAAAAUAAAGUUCUUUAUAAAAAUAAAUAAAGAAUUUUAUUUUAUUAUAUUUCCGCUGCUAAAAAAGAUAUUUAAAAUUUAUAAAUUAACACUUUAAUUUAUUUCUUGAGGAUUUUUAAGUCAUGUGCAAAAACAGAAAAAAAAUAUAAAGGUGAUGUAUUUUGGGGCGGAUUUAGAAUUCAAGGAAAUGUGGUGUAUUUAGGGGCGGAUUUUAAAGGUGAUGUGCAAUUGUAGAAUUCAAGGAAAGGUGGUGUAUUUAGGGGAAAUUAACCCUAUAAAUAUUCAAAAUCAAACGGAUUGGCAUGUAUUCAUCAUUUUUUAUUUUUUAUUUUGAUAAUUUAACAGUAUUAAAUAAAGAAAUUUAUAGGCUGCGUCCCUUACUGCUUGGCUUUUAGAUUAUGUUGUAAUAAUAAAAUUAAAAGCACGUUUACAAUAUAAAAUUAAUUAUGAUAAAUACAAUAUAUUAAUAAUAAAUACUCAAUUACCUCUUAACAUAAUUCGCGCAUCAUGGCUUUUAGCUUAUAUUAUAAAGAUAUAAUAUGUUGUCUAUAAUAAUCGACGGAAGGUAAUAGACAACAUGUUUUACUUCUUGUCUAUAAUAAUAUAGACAGUAGAUCUAGUGUUAUAGAUAACAAUUAAUACGUGUUGUCUAUAUGAUGAUAGACACCAAAAAUCUCUGUUGUCUAUUCUAUGACAAAAAAAUUUAAAAAAAUUCUAAUAUAUUUACAUCCCUGUAUUACAAUACCAAUAUAUAUGAAAAAAUAAAAAUAAUUAAAAAUCAAAUAAUCAAACAAUACUUAUAAACCACUAAUACUCACAAUCAAAUAUUUACACAUCAACAAUUGUAUUAUCUUUAAUUACGCCUUCAUUUAUCUACUAAAAAAAAUCUCUAAUAAAAUCUCUAACUAACUCCGGUCAUCAUCUCUUGAAGGCUUAGAAAAUGUCCAAAUACAGCGGCACAUGCUCAUUAUUGUGUGAGCGAUGAGAACUUUGCGCUGAACCUAUAAAGUAACUAUACUUAACUGGUAAAGUAAUUGUAUCCCGUGAAUCUAAAGGAAGAAUAAACACGUUGAUAGAGUUUGAAAGAAAAGAAUAAAGAGAAUGAAAAUCCAAAGAAUUUGCUUCUUCCGUUGAACAAUCCCUACACAACGUUGAAAUAUCAAUGAAAACAAUGGCUAUCCUAUACUCCCUCCAUCCAUGAAAGAACUUCCUAGGAGGGAGUGACACGGGUUUUAAGAAAAAAUAUUGUUAAGUGUAUUGAGAGUGGAUAAAAGGUAGUUGAGUGUAUUGGGAGUGGUGAAAAUGUGUUAUAGUUAAUAUUGAGAGUUGUGAAAAGUGAAAAGUAAGAGGAUUAUAAGUGGUGGGGUAUAGUCCAAAAAUAGGUAGGAAGUUCUUUUGUGGACGUCCCAAAAAGGAAAGAUAUGAAGUUCUUUCGUGGACGGAGGGAGUAUUAUUUUGCAGCAGCAACCACGUUUAAAAACUCGAUCCCUCUAUUCUUGAAUUUGUGAAAUUUCCGACUGAUUUAUUAGAUUCACCAUUUAUUUCAGUUUAAUUAGUCUAUAUAUAGAUAUUUCUUAUAUUAUUAAAUUGUUAACCUCAUGGUAGAUUUCAAGAUUUGAAAAUUCAACAAAGAGCUUGAGAAUUAUAGAGAUUGGAAGGGGAAGAUGAAACAUAGUUGGGUGAAAUUAGAAACCAAUUAAAGUCAGGAGAUUGAAGAAAAACAUAACUUAAAAACACAAAAUAAGCAAAUCGUAGAUGCAGUAUCUUGCAAGAAAAAGUUCAUAUUCCCAAGGCUAUGAUGAGCACGAAUUAGGGUGUGUCUGCAUUUUAUCCCUCUAAAUGGAGGAAUAAUAAAAUUUUAUGCCUUUAAAUGUUUGCUUUCUUAUCACACAUUCUAAACAAACACCAUUUUUUCUUCCUUAUUUUCACUUCAAUGAGGGAUAAUAUUAUCCCUCCAAUUUUGGUGUGAUAAUAUUAUCCCUCCUACAAGUGAAAAUAAGGAAGAAAAAAUGGUACUCCCUUCGUCCCAAACGAAAUGUCCUGUUUUCCUUUUUGGGCUGUCCCAAACGAAAUGUCCUGUUUCCUUUUUUGGCAAUACACUCUCUCUCUAUACUUAAUAUUUAAAUAAUUUUCACCAACCCACUUUAUCUACUUUAUACACAUUUCUUAAUCUCCGUGCCGAAAAGAAAUGGGACAUUUCGUUUGGGACGGAGGGAGUAUUUGUGUAGGAUGUGGGAUAAGAAAACAAACAUUUAAAGACAUAAAUUUUUGUUAUUCCUCCAUUUAGAGGGAUAAAAAGCAAACACACCUUAGAGUCUAAUUACAAUUUAGGCGCAGGCUGUGUGAGAAUUACUUAGUCGAAUAGGAUCCUUAGUAUUUAUAUUUCUCAUGUUCUUGUGUAUUUUUUCACUGAUUCACUAUUGGAUUAACAAGAAUUAUCUUACUUUAAAAAAAAAAAAGAAAUGAUCUUACUUCAUGUAUGGUAUGCCAACUGUUCGAUAAAGGUCCUUUUAGAAAUAUUCCAUAGAUUACCUUGCAAAGACCACAAAACUAGACACACCCUGCAUAGUUUAUACAUAGGGAUGGCCGAUUGAUGAUCGUCUUAUUUGUAGACUUAACGAGAGCAGACUCGAUCGCUUAGUCCUUACUGAUUUACGACACACAUGCACACAUACACAGAUACACACAUCACAAAAUCACGCAAAUUGACGGAUAAUGUUGCCGGCCAGCUCCUUCCUGCUCCACGCCACGGCAUUUUUCUGCACCAUGGUGGCCGUGAAAUACCACGAGACGAUGUCAUGGGUGGCGACGUGUUGUCCGGUGGCGGCGGAUAGCCCGACCUGAACCUCCUGAGCAACAAAGUAGCUCAAAUCGUACUCAUAGCUGACAUCAAACGUCUGAUUGCCGGCGGUGACUUUGACGGAGAUCAUCCUUGUGGCUCCGACGUAGUUGAUCCGCGCAGUUACCUGCUGCUUGAGUAUGGAGCUGUCGACCGGCGUCGUCUUGCUGGAUACCCUAGAGCCGAAGUCGAUGCCGAUGUGGGGAUAGAGCGGAUCCCACGCGCCGUUGACGUAGGUGUCGAUUUCAACGGCGAAGACCCCGGGGCUGUUGCCGUUGGAGCCAAAGAUUCCGAGAUUGGCUCCGUCGGAGCCAGGGGGGAUGGUGGAGUCGACGGGGGCAAUGAAGAAGGCGAGGCCGUCGGCAGGCUCGUUGUCGGCGCCGGGGGUGAUGAUGAAGUUCACGGUGGUUUCGAAGUCGACCUGCCCAUUGGACAUCCAGAAUUGGACCGGUUCCGAGUACAUGACGCGGCCGACUUGGGACGGUUGUGCGUCUGUGAGGCGGAGGAAGGUGGAGUCCGUCGGGAAAUGGGCGUUGCCUUGAUAGAUGAGAUCUUUCGGCUGGUCGCCCCAGAAGUCGAAGGUGAACGACGUCGUUUGGGACAACGCCGUGUUGGAAACGGCGAGGAGGAGGGCGAUGGAGGCGAGGAGAGGAGUUAAGUUGGCCAUGGCUUAAUAGAUUUAGAUUUAGAGAUGUGGUGGAUGAUGGUGGUAUCGAUCUGUUGCACCUAUUUAUACUAGUAUGGUUCAUGCCUGAUAAUAAUUGUAUCAAUCAAUCAUCGUGCAUCUAUCCCAAAUUAUAUGUCUUAUUAUUCACUAAUUAGAUGGAAUAAAUCCUAAUUUGCAAUCUUAAAAUUAAACCGCCAAUGAGGCCUUGCUCUAGUAGCAAAGCUGUGGCACCCAAUAACUUUUCUUUGUGAAAGGUCUUGGGUUCAAUCUCGCCUGCAUGCGGUGAUGUUUGCCCACUUUAGGUGGUGUGGUAUUCUCGCCUGCGUGCGGUGUUAUAUUGUUUAGUGUUAAGGUCCCACAUGCAGGGCGUUCUUGCAUGUGUGCGUGUCACAACCCAAAACCAUUUAUUUUCUUUACAAAUUUUAUAUGAAAAUUAUUUGAUUUUUAAGUUAUAGAGUUUUCGAUAUAUAUACAUAUAGUGUCAAUUUUAUGUUAACUUAGUCGUGUCCCUAAUUAAAAGAAUGAAUUUGAAAUAAAAGUUAAGCCUUAAAAAUUUAAUCUACAUUCAUAUAUAACUGAAAUUACAUGCAUGUCUAAAUAUUAUUUAUAAUUAUCAAUAACGGGAUUAAUGAUUCUAUAUCUCUAUGUUUAUACAUAUAUUCACGUAUGACAUAGUAUAUAUUAGCUAUUAAGUUAAAUAAAAUACUACAGUUUUGCAUAGGAUAUAUAUUUAAUUAGUAGUAGGAUAGGACACGUGUAUUAAUUUUAAGGGCAAGUAAUCAAACUUUUGAAUGAUUCAUCAUGCUUAAAAAAAAGAGACCUAGAUAGAUGAUUCAUCAGAUUCAAAAACAAGUAUAAAUAGACUUCGAGUUUGAAAUUUUAAUUAAUUUGCAACAACCAUUCAAACUGACUGUAUUAAGGUAAGUAGUUACAGAUUUCAUACACAUUAUAUGAUUUCGCGCACAUACGUAUGUAUAUAUAAAUAUUUUUUAAAAUCAUAUAUUAUAUAAUAAUUAUAUUUAAGUUUUAUAUUAUUCUUUAUAAACUAUUGUUCCAUUCUAUAUAAUUAGGUGUGGCAUGACUAGGACGUAACUUUCGAUUGAAUUUCUCAAGUUAAUCUUCAAGUUCAAGUUUCAGGUGUGGGAUUUAUUUAAAUACAUGUCGUGGUUAUUUAUUAUCCAUUUUAAUAAUAUGUGUUUACCAUAUGUGUUAUGAUGCAUAUUUUGAGGAUAUCGCUAGGGGCCCAUAAAUAGGGUCCAGGACUUCACCGUCCUUGGAUUGCCACAAUGCAAUUUGAGGUUUAUUUUGAGGAUGUCGUCAGGGAUCCGUAAAUAGGGUCCAGGACUUUAAUAGUCCUUGGGUUGCCACAGUGCGAAUAUAUUGAGGAUAUAUAUGAAGUGACCGUAUGUGUUACCGUUUCAUUAACGUGGACAAUGAUUGCUUGUUCUCACACUGAGUGUACUCUGUAUGCUCAUCCCAUAUUUAACGUGGAAGGUCGAUUGACGAAUCAAAUAUUUUGUAUUUAGCUUUACCUAAAUAUGUUAUUUUGAGUAAAGUAUUUUAAAUAAAAAUUUAUUUCAUAAUUUUCUCAUUAAAUAUUUAUUUAUAUUCAUAGCUUUUCCGCACAAAUAUUUAUUUAAAUUUUAAUUAGAUUUGGGUGUCACUGUGCGGUGAUGUUUUUCCACCGUUUCGGUGGUGGUGAGGCCCCACCUGCGUGCACGUUAUAUACUUGAUUAUAUUCAGAUACCUCUUGUAAUUUUUAAAAAAAUAAUCAUAAAAUUAAACCAAAGCAUAUAAAAUUGAAAUUGGCCAAAAAAAUAUAUAAAAAUAAAUAAAAUUAAAAAUGGGAUAUAAAGUGAGACAUUAAAUGUGGUACACUACUGAAUCUCAAUCCAACACGUGGAUGCUACAUUGUACUUGUCGGAAUAUUAGAACUUCUACAAAAUAUUGCUAUUGGAAACGUGAAAUUUUAUUAUGAGAAAACUUAUACCUGACCCCACAGUCGUGGGCACGUGUUAUGUUGCGCGGAAAUUAAAGUGGUGGGGACCGUAAAUGGUAUUUUAGUCUUUUAAUUUAUUUUAGUAUACAAAAGAGUUAAUUUUAAAGAGGCGCUAAAAAACACAUCACUUUUAAAAAUUGGUAUUUAAAAUCUUGAACCCCUUUUAUUAUUUUAGAAAGAUAUUAAUUAAUUGAUAAAUUAAUAAAUUAUUAAUUGAAACAAUUAUUUUAAGCAAAUUUAAUUAUAAUUACCUAAAAAUUUAAAAAACAUAAAUUCAAUACCAUUCAAAUUCAACAAACUAACUUAAAUUUUUACUUUAAAAAAUCUUCAUCAAUCUUGCAAUCUCGGCUUGGACUAUAAAUGUUCAACAAGAGACAAUAACCAAUUUUUCAGACAUUUGUGAACAAAAUGAAGCAUGUUUAGAGAUCCUUAAUAAAGGUGUACGAAAUGAUGGAUAAAUAAGUUUGUGAAAAUUUCACCAUACCUAACCCCACAAUUAUUUGCGAUCGAAUAUCCUCGUCACAGGAAAAAGAGAUGAUGACAAAAGGGAAAAAAAAAUUAACAAAGUAGAAGAUGCAUGACAACUGUCAAGAUAAAUAAUGUUACUAAUUAAAUAAUCCAAACUUUAUACGUUUCAUAUCAUAAGUGGCAGUUCUAUAUUUUUUGCGAAAGUGAACAAAAUAACGAAUAAUUUUUAAAGUAAUAGUAAAAGGAGAUGUGUUUUGACAGAAAACGACAUGAGCGGCCUAAAAAUAAGAGGGAAAAAGAUAAUCAUAUAAAUAUUCAAAAUCAAACGGAUUGGCAUGUAUUCAUCAUUUUUUAUUUUAAUAAUUUAACAGUAUUAAAUCAAGAAAUUUAAAGACCGCGCCCCUUACUGCUUGGCUUUAAGAUUAUGUUACAAUAAUAAAAUUAACAGCACGUUUACAAUAUAAAAUUAAUUAUGAUAAAUGCAAUAUAUUAAUAAUAAAUACUCAAUUACCUCUUAACAUAAUUCGCGCAUCAUGGCUUUUAGCUUAUGUUAUAAAGAUGGAGUAUAAAAUAAUCAUCACCUGUGCAUGAUAUUUCACAAAAUAAUUAAAUAAUAAAAUAAUCAAUCAUAAUGCCAAGACGUGACUCUUGUCGGUCAUAUCUCAUCAACUUUAUCUAUAUAGUACAAUGAUGAUUAAUUUGAGAACGACGAUUAAGACACCAACUAUUCUUGUGGGGACACAUGCAUAUAUAGAAUUAAUAUUAUAAACUCUCUCGGUCCACGAAAUAACUUACUAUUUUUUCUUUUAAGAACGUGAACAAAAAAAAUUCCCAUCGAUAUUUCGGAACUAUACCCCACUACUUUAAAAUACCUCAUUUUACCCUUUCUUUUUCACAAAAACAACAAAUUACUAAUAAUUUUUCACUAUUCCUAAUAUACUGAACAAUUUUUCUCCACUCUCAAAUUUUGUAGCACCGAAUAAAAUUAAAUACUAGUAUUAUUUUUUGUAGAACUAUAAAUAAAUAUUAUUCUCAAAACAUGUACUAUUACUUACUAUUUUUUUUAAAUGUGGGACGACCAAAAAAGGAAAGAUGAAUUCUAAAAGCUGGGACAGAGGAUAUAUUAUUUUUCUUCUUGGUUCUGAAGUAUGAAUAUUAAUUAACAAUUCUUCGUCCACAUCAAGCUCACCUUCACGUAAUUUUUUCUUGAACAACACCGAAAAAUAUAUAAUCCCAACAUAGCAUGAUCAAUCUCAAUGCACCAAACAUAAAUUAGUUUUAAAAUAAUAAUAAGAUUAACUACUAUAUUGCUGAAUUAUGCAGUAGAAUUAAAAGCGUGAUUUUUUUUUAAUAGAGCAGGUUAAUCUAGGCCUACCUGAACCAUCUGACUAUGCAUGAGUUUGAUUUUUCUUCUUGAUCUUUUUUAAUUUUACCGACAAAGAAGAUUUUCACAAAUGAAAAGAAAACGUUCUAGUAACAUACUACAUGCUUACUUCAGAUUUGCAACCAAGUCUAUUGAGGGUUUUAUUUGCUACAUAUAUAAACACAAGGAUUUGGUUUGAUACAAAUUAAGAAUAUUCAACUUUCAUCGGCUCAAGCACAUAGAAUCUCCCCGAGUAGUUAUAACUGGUCAAUGUUUUUGCCGAUAAAAAGGAAAAGGAAAGAAAAAAGAAAGAAGCAAGACGGAGAAAAAGUUGUAGUAAAUGAUUAUGCGAUGAAAAGAAAAUGGAAAAGAGAAAGAAAGAAGAAAGUUGUAGGAAUUUUGAAGAAUUUGUACUUAUUUAGAAUUGUGGUUAUUGUGGGAUCUUGUAUAAUAAUAAUAAUAAUAAUAAUAAUAAUAAUAAUAAUUAUUGGGCCGUUCCACGAAUCUUGGCACAUUUUCAAAUAAGGUAAUAAUUCAUUCUCUCUCUUACUUUAUCACUUUAAUACUUUAUUAACUACAAACUUAAAACACUAAUAUACAAUUCCUUAAUUCCCGUGUCGAAACCAAACGUGUCAAGAUUCGUUGGAUGGAGGGAGUAAUAAUAAUAAUAAUAAUAAUAGUAAUAAUAAUAAUAAUAAUAAUAAUAAUACAUCAUUGCCCUUUAAAAAGUUUUAAAAUAGGAACAUAAUAUGUAAAUCUAAUUUUGUAAAAGAAGCUCUUCUAUAGUAAUAGUUAUAGAUUUGGUGUGGAGGCAUUUGUUUGAGAAUGGGUAAAACAUACCAUUAACCCUUUGAUAUAUGCACGAGACACUUAUUUGUGGAUAGGACAAGAAUUAUUUUGUUGCAUAGGAUCCCUUCCAAAUGUAAUUACUGAUUCACAAUUGGAUUAACAAGAAUUAACUUACUUCAUAUUCAGUAUUCCAACUGUUCGAUAAAAGUUCUUAAUGAAAUCUUCCAUAGAUUACCCAAAUGCAUUGUUUUGCAUAGUCCGUACAUUGAGAUGGUCGAGUAUCUUAUGUCUAGACUUAACGAGAGCAGACUCGAUCGCUUAGUCCUUAUUUAUUUACGACACACACACAUCUCAAAAUCACACAAAUUGACGAAUAAUGUUGCCAGCCAGCUCCUUCCUGUUCCACGCGCCAGCAUUUGUCUUCACCAUGGUGGCUGUGAAAUACCAUGAGAUAAUAUCAUGUUUGGCGACGUAUGGUUGGUUUAGUCCGCUGGCGGCGGAGAGCCCUACCUGAACCUGCUCAGGAAGAAACUCGCCCAAAUUGUACACAUGGCUGACCUCAAACGUCUUCGAGCCGGCGGUGGCACUGACGGUGAUCAUCUUCGUGGCUCCGACGUAGUUGAUCCGCGCAGUCACCUGCUGUCCGACUAUGGCGUCUCCGACAUUCGUCGUGUUGCUGGAUUCCCUAGAUCCGAGGUCGAUGCCGAUGUGGGGAUAGUUCGGAUCCCACGGGCUGUUGAUGAAGGUGUCGAACUCGACGGCGAAGACCGAGGGGCUAUUGCCGUUGGAGCCGAAAAUUCCGAGGUUGGCCCCAACAGCGCCACUGGGGAUGGUGGAGCCGACGGGGGCAAUGAAGAAAGCGAGGCCGUCAGCGGUUUUGCCAUCGGGGCUGGGUGUGAUGAUGAAGUUAAUGGUGGUUUCAAAGUCGACUUGGCCACCGGAUUGGGAGAACUGGACCGGCUUCGAGUACAAGACCCGGCCGACCUGGUAUGUCUCGAAGUCGGUGAGGCGGAGGAAGGUGGAGUCCGAUGGGAAAUGGGCGUGGCCUUGGUAGGUGAGAUCGGUCGGCUGGUCGCCCCAGAAGUCGUAGGUGAAGGACGUUGUUUGGGACCACACCGUGUUGGCAGCGGCGGCAAGGAGAAGGGCGAUGGAGAUUAGGGUUUGUUGAAGGUUGGCCAUCGCUUAAUUGAUUUGGAUGUGGUGGAUGAUGGUGGUAUCUUUAUCUUGCUUCUAUUUAUAGUAGUAUAACGAGCCCUAGUUAAUUAUCUUUAAAUCAUACUAAAAUAUCAUAAAUUAAAAUUGAAGAAAAAAAAGUUAAAACCUACUCUCGCAGUCCCUCAAAUAACUUCUUAGGAGAAGAGGGGUAGGAGUUUUAAGACGAAGUUAAUGUGCAAAGUAAGGAUAAA